CCAAUCUCAGGUGAAAGUCCUCGUUCUCUCUCUAUAUAUAGCGAUAUUUUCAUAUUUUUCCUCUCGAGGUUUUAUUUGAAUUUUUUUCAUCUGAAAUAUCAGAAAGAAAUCUAGUUUGAAUCUAAUCUCAGUUGAAAGUCCUAGUUCUCUCUAUAUAUAGCUAUAUUUUCAUGUUUUUCCUCUCGAGAUCCUAUUUGGAUUCUUUUCAUUUGUUAUCUCAGAAAAAGCCUUACUUCGAAUCCUGCUUUGAUAAAAUCUUGAAUAAGGAAAAAUCUUUUUUCUUAUUGAACGGUCGUUUUAAAGAAACUCUUAAAUCUGAAUUCUCGAGCUAUAUAUAUUAGUAUUAGGUUUGAGCUCUUAAUUAAUUUUUUCUUUUUAAAUAUUCUUUUUUUUUUCGUAUCUUUGAUAUGUAUAUUGAAACUCCAGUGAAUCUAAUUGGAUUCACAUUACAUAAGGUCAUUAAAGGAGAAAUUAUUUUUUACUAGGAUUUUUUCUCAUUCCAACCCAAUAUAUGGAGUUGAUGGUAAUAUUUUUUUUUUUUUUCAAAGUUUUAAUGGUUGGUCAAAACUUUUGGUAGAACAUCUUUUUUAAGAAAAUAAAUUUAAAGGAGAAUAAUAAAUUAAAAUGAUCUUUUUGGUGAAAAUAGAGAGAUUUGUAAGUAAUAUUUUAUAUUGAUUGUCUAUGUUAUUCUAAUCGUUUGCUACUUAUCAAACAUCAAUAAAUAAAUAAGAACGUUAUUUAUUUUUGAGGAAAAUAUUUUUCAUGAUUUUUUUUUUUCUUCUUAUCAAAUGCAUGCAUCCUAGAUGUUUUUAAAUUAUUAUAUUGUGGGGUUAUAUCUAAGGUUACUUGAUUAAUCCAAUUUGUUAUCUAAUUAAGAAGUACUUAUUGUUCUUGUUAAUUAUAGUGUAAUUAAAGUCCAAUUGGAUUAAAAGUGCUCAAAAUAGAAAUCUAACGGGGUGAAAAUGGAAGAAGCGAUGUUGGUGAGGUUCAAUCCGAAGACGGUUUUACGAUUUGUUAUUCGUAAAUAUCGAUCUCAGAUUGAGCCGCGCCAAUAUCACUUUCUAUAAUUUUAUUUAGAUUUCUUUACUCGAUAUUUGAUACUUGUAUUUUAUAUCAGUGGUUAUUGUAAUAACUUUUUUUUUUGUUAUCUAAAUGUAAUUAAUCCAUUUUUUUGGGUUGAUAAGGGAAUAUGCAGUCGCUAUUCUUCGCAUGCAUAUAAGGUAAGCAUCUCGUCUAAUGUAAUAGCCUUCAAAUUAAAUAGAAAGAAACGUAAAACGUACAAGACAAGUCUCGUACAACGAGCUCGAUCUAAAAAACAUGUGACGAGUUUCAAAUCGAAUUAUUCAAUCAAUUCGACCACCCUCACGAAGGUAAUCCCACUUUAACUAACGAUCCUUCACAUUAGACAUUCUAAAUCCACCUCUUUUUUUUUUUUUUUUUUAACAAGGGAAUAUGAUUUCGCUAUUUUUCGCAUGCGGGUAAUGUAAAACCCUUGCUUUAGUGUAAUAGUCUACAAAUUAAAUAUGAGCGCAAAUUGUAUAAAUUAGACAUGACCGUGUAACGAGUUCGAUCUAGAAAAUAUGUAGAGAGUUCUAAACACGAGACCUCCAUUUGCGAGAUAAUUUGUUCAAUCAAUUUGAUUAUCCUUACAUCUUUUCUACGUCUCACACUCUAUCGAACCAUCACAUCAACAAGAAUAAAUCCACAGAAGUUUUUUUAAAAAAAGAAUUCAAUAAAAGAUCAAACUCAUCUCGCGGUUUAUCGUUACAAUAGGUGUUACCCAUGGCACCCAAGGGUUUGGCCUAGUGAAUAGUGAUCAAUAAAGUGUGUCGAGAAUGUAAGAGGUCUCAGGUUCAAAUUCCAGCGGAGACAAAAACACACUAGUUGAUUCUUCUUGUUUAUCCCAGCCUUGGUGGACAAAGUUAUCUGAUAUCUAUUGUUGGUGGGAGAUGACACGUAUCCCGUGAAUUUAGUCGAGGUACAUGAAAGCUGGUCUAGACACACAGGUGGGAGGUGGCAAGUAUCCCGUGAAUUUAGUUGAUGUGCACGAAAAUUGAUCCAGACACACUGGUGGAAGGUAGCAGGUAUCCCAUAAAUUUAAUCGAGGUUCACGAAAGCUAGCCCAGACACGCUGGUGGGAGGUGACAAGUAUCUCAUGGAUCGCUGGUGGAAGGUGAUAAGUAUCUCGUGGAUUUAGUCGAGGUGGACAAAAGGUCGUCCAAACACGUUGGCGAGACGCGACAGGUAUUUCGUGAAUUUAAUCGACAUGCACGAAAAGUAGGUGACAAGUAUCCCGUGGAUUUAGUUGAGGUGCACGAAAGCUCGUCCAAACACGCUGGUGCGACGUGACAAGUAUUUCGUGAAUUUAAUCGAGGUGUACAGAAAUUGAUCCAGAUACCACAAUCAUAAAAAAAAAAAAAAGAAGUUCCACACGUGUCAUUCCUUAUUACUAGUUCAAGCAUAUUCAAUCUCCAUUCCCCUCUCUCUCUCUCGUGACGAGAGAGAAUAAAGAGAAAAUAAAUUCAUUUUUUUUUAAUUUACAAUUUUUUUUCUAAAAUAAUUACUAUAUAUGUAAUUUCUAUAUUUAGAAUUAUCAAAUUAAUUAUUUAAUUUAAAUUAUAAAUGUGCAUGAUCGGAAUAGUGAUCGGAGAAAUCUGAUAAUCGGAAUUAUUGUUUGAUAUUCCGGCACAACAUGUCUGCUAUAGUGUGCGGAAAGAGAUCGAUUUUAUUUGACGAUUUUCAAUCUCAGUCGCCGUCGCCGUCGUUGCCGCCGGUGAAUAAGAGGAUUCGCCUUAGUUUUUCUCCGGCGACGUCUAAUUUUGAUAAUUCGAUUGCAUCGUUGAAGCUUGAUCAUUUACUCAUGGUUUUCUCUGAUAUGGAUAAGCAGGUUGUUUAUUAUUAUUAUUAUUAGUAGUAGUAUUAUUAAUAUUAUUAUUGUUGUUGUUUUGCUUUUAAUUGUGUUGAGUUUAGUUGUAAAGAAAAAAAUUAGAGCUUUUUGUGUGUGAGUUUCCUUAAUUAUCAGUAAUUAUUUAUUAAAACACACCUAAAGUAUUUAGCUUUUUUGAGUUUCAUACUUGAAUUCUAUUUGGUGUGUGAGUUUCCUAGUUGAACUGUCGCCAAUUAUUUAUUAAAACACAUUUAAACUAUUAAUUGUUUGAGUUUCGUAGCUGAAUAUUCAGGUAGGAAGAAUAAACAAUUAACAGUUUAGGUAUAAUUCGAUAAAUGAAGGGGAGCCUUGGAGUAACUGGUAAAGUUGAUGUCAUGUGACCAGGAGGUCAUGGGUUCAAGCCUUGGAAAUAGCCUCUUGCAGAAAUGUAAGGUAAGACUGCGUAUAAUACACCAUUGUGGUGGGCCCUUCCCCGGACACCGCGUAUAGCGGUAGGUUUAGUGCACCGGGAUGCCCUUUUCUAGGUGUAUUUCGAUUAUUCGUUGGUGAUAGUUCAGGUAGGAAACUCAACACACCUAAUAGUUCAGAUAUGAAACUAAAAAGAGCUGAACACUUUAGGUGUGUGUUACUUGAACCGAAUGUUUAUUGGAAACAAUGUAUGUGUACGCACUACCAUCGCCGCACUCUACUUGUGGGAUUACAUUGUGUUUUUUUGUUUGUUGUUGUUGUAGUGUAUCUAUUUUUUUGAUUUUGAUAUGGCAAGAGUAAAGCACUUGAGAAGGUUUGCCCAUUGUUAGCCGUUCCAGACGACUUUUUUAGUAAUUUAACAUCAUCUCAUUGUAAAGAUCCUUCAUUUCUGAUUGUACUAGACAAGCAAUGUUUUCAAAAAGUACUGAACUUGUGAGUUAUCCAGUGGAAUCAGUCAAGGGUAUGUUCAAGUUGGCCCAUAUAGCAUGAUUAUUUAAAAGAAAAAAAAGAGAAGCGAGUAUUGAACUUGACUUUAUAAAAAAAAAUGAAAAGUAGUAUUGGAGAAGCUCCAUUGACAACAAAUGCUUGUUGCCUCCUUCAUUUAGUUAUUUGGGAUGUGGGGAAGUACCUUUUGAGUGAUUUGGUGAGUUUAUUAAUGUCUUUCUUAUGACUAAUUGUACUAGGCAAGCUGUAUUUUCAAAAAAGUAUUGAACUUGUGAGUAUUUUUUAUGAGUGGUUGUACUAGACAAGCAAUGUGUUCAAAAAAGUAUUGAACUUGUGAGGUAUUGCGUACUUGUGUUGAUAUUGGGAGGUAGCAGGUCCCAGUGGAAUCAAUCGAGGUGCGUGCAAGCUGGCGAGAUUACACGAUUGUAAAAAAAGAAGCAAGUAUUGGCCUUGUCUUUAUAAAAAAAAAACUAGUAGUUUUGGAGGGGCUCCGUGACAAGAAAUGCUUACUGCCUCCUUCAUUUAGUUAUUUUGGGACGUGGUGAAGGACCUUUUGAUUGAUUCAGUUAGUUCAUUAAUGUAUAUCUUAUGAUGUUGUAAGUGGGAAUUGGCGGAAUGUGGUUUUAAUUAAUGACUUAACUUAUGCUAAUUUCCGUCAUACCUUUUGCUUAAACAAGAUGAGGUGUGUAACUAAAGGGGUAACUUCUAUGUACUUCUUGUUGAUGAUUAAUGUGGUUUUGUAAUUGAAUUCACUGUACGAAGAUUUUCCUUUUAUUAGCUGUUUGAAGUGCUAUUUUAUGAUUCAUCUUAUGCUUUUGUUGUUGAACUUGUUGCUAACUUCUCAUUGCAAACAACCGGCAUAACUGAUUUAGAGAUCGUCUUCCGUCUGCUGCUUAUAGUUUUUAGUUAGACUCUGGAGAUCUUUCACUUUACACUGUAGGAACUUAGUGCUUGCAUAAUUGAUUCGUUUGCGAGUUUAACAUAUUCUCCUAGACUUUGAAAAUGGGCUGAGAAGUUGAUUGAUCAACUGUGCUUUCUCCACAAAUCUCCUUCAAUAGAGGAAGAGUUAACUAGCUUUCAGUUAGAUUUUCAGUAUGUGAAUUGAAUCCCUUUUGUCUGAUAUCUUGUGUUGUUUCAACACAUUAUAUAUGCUAUAACUUUGAAUUUACAAAUCUAAAUGAGUAAAUGAAAAGGGAAGACAGACUCUGCAAAUACUUUAACAAUUUUGAAGCAGUGAAGUAUAUCGAGUCUCCUGUAAACAAGUAAUGUUAUUAGUACUCUCUUACUACUUUAUUGUUCGAUUUUAUUUUUAUUACAUGUUUUUCUCUGCUUCGAUUCUACCUCUAUAAUGUAGGAGGUAAGGUCUGCGUAUACCUUAUCCUCUCCAGACCCCUUGUGGUGUUACACUGGGUAUGUUGUUGCUGUUUACUCUGCAUCGGUUAUCAUACUACUUCUUGUUGCUACUGAUUAUUUUGAUCUUGAAAUUGUUCUUUGUUUGAGGUACUUAAAAUUGAUAACUAAAAAAUAUUUUAAUUUUUAAUUAUGUGUGCUAAUAGUUUCAAUCACAUAUGGUGAUGUAUUAUAGAUUAAGGAUUUUUGUUGGAAAUAAAAGAUUAUACAAUCUAAAACCACUUAUAUAUUUUAGGUUAUACACUGGAUAUCCAUUUUUCAAUACGAUUAACGAAACAUCGAUAAAGCCACAUCUGAUAACUAUAAAAGCAAUCCAGUGAUUGUUAUUUGCUUGAUGAGUCAAAUGACUCAAGUGUAGAAAGCAAUAUUCCUGAGAGUUGGUUGUGAGAGACUUUAGUGCAUGUUGUAGAGUAAUUUCUUUUGUUAAUAUCUGCUCCUAUGUUUCCUUAGUUAUUAAGGAAAAUAAUUUUAUUAAUCCAUUCAGUAUUUGAUAUUAAGCAAAGUUGGAGAAGAAAAACUUCUUAAAAGAGGAGGGAAUGAUUGCAAAAGUUGAUUUGAAUUACAACACAACUUUUGAACAUCAGCAGUCGCGAAGUAGUUAUGUUCUUUUUCUUUGUUAUUGUUGUCGUCAUUGUCAUUAUUUCUUUUUGUUUUUCUUUUCAAUCACUCAAUUGAAGGGGAGCUUGGAGUAACUGUAAAGUUUCUGCCAUGUGACCAAGAGGUCACGGGUUCAAGCCUUCGAAACAGCCUCUGGCAGAAAUGCAAGGUAAGACUGCGUAGAAUAGACCCUUGUGGUUGGGCCCUUCCCCCGACCCUGCGCAUAGAAGGAGCUUUACUGCACUGGGUUGCUCUUUUUUUUCCAAUCAAUCAACUAUACUUUAGUUCAAAAUUAGUCGGAGUCAGUUAUAUGAAUCUUUUGUAUUCAUUCUCUAUGGUCUAUUUCAUUCAAAUGCUAAAUAAUUUCUCUUUGUAGGUAAAUUAGGGAUUCUCUAGAGCUAGAGGUUCCCUAGGUCUCACACUUGUUAUCCCAUAUAGAUUUACAAGUCUAUGACUAUUAUAAAAUGAAUCUUGACACAAAUUAUGUGAUUAGAUUGCACAAUUUCUAGAAGUGUUGCAGAAUUAAUGAAUUUGUACAGGAGUUGCUAAUCCACCUACUUUCGGUGCGACUAUAAUAGAAGAAAGAGGGAAAUUAUAUAAGGGUGUUAAAACCAAUAAAAGUUCAUAGGGCUCAACAAGAUUAGCGCUUCUUCGAAAAGAACAAACAUUAGGUUUUGUCUUGUAACAGAACAAGAGUUUGAAGUAAUUGACCACAUCGAGGAACACGUUAUGCACAAAAUUCCAAAUUUCCUUGCCACUUUAAAAGAACUGAGAAAGUGCAUUCUUCUCAGAAUUACUGUUGAUGCAUAUCAUAUAUGAUGUGUCGGUUUAUUUUUUAGCUAUAAAGCCUUUCGUUACGUUACAAAAGAGAAGGCAACGUAACCAAAAAGGAAAAGUUUAAGGUUGUCGUGCAAUUUCAAAACUCCUCUUUUCGUUUCUUUUAAUGGCAUAAGUUGUAGAUUUAGAAUGUGCACUUUGGUAGUCUAAGAGGAUUUCUAUCGAUUCUGCGCUCCAGAAAUGGUAUGCGAUCUGCUUACCUUCAUUUUGUGAUAUCACUGAUGCAUCUAGUCUCUUUUUUUUUCAUUUAAAAGAAUUUCCAUCUUUAAGCUGUCAAUUUUGGGUAUGAAAACAUUUAUCUGCAUAGAUAUCUUUAGUUAUAUAUAUUCUUUAUUUACCCUGAAUAGGGGAAACUUAAACUAGAAAUUUGAUUUUUUAGUUGGUUGAGAAAGCACUUGAAGAGUGUGGCGAUGACCUAGAUUCUGCAAUCAAACACCUAAAUGAGCUCCGCUUGGGAUCUGGUGAUAAUCUGAGGCCUGUGGCAGGAACCUCUGGUGCUACACAUGACUCCACCAGCCAGUUUCUUACUCAAGGUGCACAUUGAUUUUUUUGUUUUGUUUUGUUUAGGUUGAUGGUUGUUAUUUCCCCCUCCCCCCAUUUUGGGGUUGUUUCUCAACUUUUGUUGGUGUGAGAAGGAACGGUAAGAGGAUUGGGAGUCCCUGUUACAAUUCAUUUAAUCUUCUAUAUAGAUAGCCAAGGUUCCUUUUUUUUAAAAUAGGAUAACUUCUUUUUUAGUAAUCAUGGCACUUCUUAGUGCUGGUUUUGACAUACCAUUUCAACAACCAAAAAAUACAUUUGAUGUCUUCCUUCAUUUGUCUAAAGAUCUGAUCUUUCUUACCCCACUUACUGCACUUUAUUGAUUUUCCCAUUUUCCAAAUGUUUGUCAGUGUCCUGUCGAUUCACCUGCUUCUGCUCUAUAACAUGUAUCAAUUUUAUAGAUGUUUCAAUUGCAACUGUUCAACUAACUGCUUAUCGUUUUAAUGCUUCAUAAUUGGUGGUUUUGUGUUUUUAAAAUUGAGCACGCGGUCAAUUGUGGUCCAUAUUAUCAACCAGUCAUAUUGCUUUGUUUCAGCAGUUUCAUACUUGUAAGUUGCUUGAUAUUUAUGGUGGAGGUUAUCUGCUCCUUCACUGACGCUAACAAACCUCCACUUUAUGUAUCUUAACCCAACUAACUAUUGAAGUAUCUAAUUGCAUGGUCAUUCUUGUGAUAGCUUCACCUCUUCAACUUUCUACCUUUGAUGUUUGUUCUUUAUAUUAGUUUAUACAGACAUUACUCUGUUACUUUUUUUCCUGGUCCUAGUGAACGGCCAAUUAUAGUUGAGGCGAGAGUCUUAUCGGAGACCACCUCUCUACAUUCACAAAGUAGGGGUAAGGCUGCGCACACGCCACCCUCCCUAGACCCACUUGUCGGAUUACACUGGGUAUGCUGAUGGUGGUGGUGGUGAAGGGCCAAUUAGUAUUGUGUCAUUGAGUAGAAGUAUAAGGGAAAGAAUUGGAAGUUAUAUAGGAAAUUAAACAAUGAAAAUGCCUUAUUUAUAUUUGUGAUUCAACUAAAAAGUUUGACAAGUCAAUAAGGGAAUCAGAGUUUUGUUUCAAGACCGACGCACUCUUUUCAUGAUACAGUUAAGUUUGGUCAGUGUAAGAUGUUUAGUUCAUCGUUAUAGGAAUGUCUCGUUUCUUGAAAGAUAUUGCUGCCGAUCCCCUUACUUUUUAAUAUCGUCAUCAGACAAUAAGAGUUAAAUUACUGUAUAACUCUUUUGUUCUGUGUGCUUAUUUUCAUGCAAAGUGGGUCAUUUAAGGCCAUGGAAAGAGGGAAGACUUAAAUAAAUAGCUAGUCUACCAUGAAGUAGAACUGUUUCCAACCUUGCUUUGCUAAAUGUAUUUGAAAAUUGUGUAGUGUAUGUUUCCCUCUUGAUCCACUUGCAAGUUUCGACAAGUGAUAUUCACCAUCGUUGUUGAGCUGUAAUAGACUAAUAGUACAUUCAUUUUCAUUGUAUGUUUUUCAAAGCACUGGAUGUAGAUUCACUGGCACAACUCUGCUUUCAUCCUUAUAUUGACAUAGUUCGUUCACCUUCACCUUCACCUUGUUACAGGUGUGGCUACAAAUGACGGUGAGACGUCAUCUGUAGAGGAUUUAUCUGCUGCAAAAGUCGUGCAUUUGGAGGGUAAAGAAUGGGUGGAGCUUUUUGUUGGAGAGAUGAUGAAUGCGUCAAAUAUAGAUGAUGCUAAAGCCCGUGCUUCACGAACUCUUGAGAUGUUGGAGAAGUCCAUAUGUGCCCGUGCAACUGAGGAAGCCGCUGGUUUCCAGCAGGUGGUCCCUAAAUGUCUUUUAACUUUUUUUCCCCCUGCAUUAUUAACAACCCGGCAUCUCUUUUUUUUUUCCUUGCAUUAUAAACACCCUGUAAUAUAUCGUUCUUAUUUUCUUCUUUCACGUCUGCACUCACUAUGGUCAUAUAGUGGGCAGUUGCUUUUGGGGACCUUAAUAAGAGGUAGAUGAAGGGAUGCAACAAAGAACAAAUUGUAUAAAUGAGAGGAAAAAGAAAAUUAGAAUGAUAUAAAACUGGAAAGUGUGCUUUUACUGCAAUGUCAACGUGAAGUAAAAAGUCCUGAAAGGGUGAUAUGUCUAGAUCUUGAGUGAUUGUGUCUGGUUAUUGGCAGAAGCUACUAAUACUCCUUCUUGUGACCUUCUUGUGUUCCCUUCCCCUCUCGCCCCCCCUCAAUUCAAAUAAAAAACAAUGUCCGUUAGCGUUGGAGGUGUGCACUAGCAUAGUUCCUUAGGCCAGACUGAUUAUCUUGUUAUUUUGACGAAGUUUGUUUUGUCAGUUUUAAAAAUGAAUGUUGUUAAUCAAAAAGAAGAAGGUAUCCAUAUCCAUAUGGGCUUAUAGACUGGUUGUGAUACAGGAGAAUAUGAUGCUCAAGCAGCAACUUGAAGCUCUCAUACAAGAAAAUGCUAUUUUAAAGCGAGCGGUUUCCAUCCAGCAUGAGCGUCAGAAGGAAUACGAGGAUAGAGGGAACGAGUUGAAUCAGCUGAAGCAGUCGUUGGCUCAGUAUCAGGAGCAGCUUCGAACCCUUGAGGUCAGAUUUCUCUUAGAAUUGAUUAUGUUUUCGUGGUUCCUGCAACCUAAGUUGCUCGGACUCUCUAAAAAGUGUUGCCGCACCCGUGUUGGAUCCUUCAAAAAUGCACUAUUUUUGGAGGAUCUGACACGCACCCAAAGACAUUUUUGAAGAUUUCGAGCUACUUAGCCUGCAACCGAAUGACAAUAAGAUGCUUGUCUGGAUUUGUGAUUAUAGUUUUCGGCAUUUUCUUUUCUUACUGUUUUGGACCACUUCCCAUGUAUAGCAUUUUAGUGACAGUUUAGGCCUUCCUGUGUCGUCAGGUCAAUAACUACGCUCUCUCGAUGCACCUCAAGCAGGCUCAACAAAGCAACAACUCUAUUCCAGGGCGUUUCAACCCUGAUGUCUUCUAGUAUGUGUAUAAAUGUCCUUAUUGGCUGCGUAACGUAUAGGAUAGCAACAGUAUGCCCUAUUACCCAGUGUCUUUAAACUAGAACUUAUGUCUUUCGAUUAUAAGUGCCCUGCAGCAGUUAUUAGCCAAAGGGUACUUUGUACUGUUCAUACAAGUUUUUAUUUGCUUUUCUGUUGUUGUUUAAGUUGGAGUAUCGAAGUUCAUAUAGUUUGGUUCUUCUAAUGUUAAGAAAAUAUUCAACACAUGAUUGCGAUGCUUUAUUAUUUCGUUUGAUUCGAUUUCUGUUCCAUUUAAUAUCUUUAGAUUCUCAUGUGUAUAUGAUAUAUCGCGUAAAUAAACACGAUUCUAUCGGAAAUUUUCUCAAUCUUUGAUAAUGACGUUACAACGAUUAGAUACCGACUGAAAAUCUCAUGAAACUGGCAAGUUUCAAGAUCUUGUUACUCUAAACAACAACUUUCCCAGUGUUUGGGGAGGGUUGGAUGUAUGUGAACCUUACCCCUUCCUUUGUGGGGGUAAGAAAACUGUUUACGAUAGAUCUCAAGCUCAAAAGAGAUCUUGAUACUCUAGGGGUCGUUUGGUUGGAGAGAUAAGGAUAACUAAUUCCGGGAUUUAUUUAGAAGAGGAGCUUAUCCUGAAGGGGAGCCUUGGAGUAACUGAUAAAGUUGUUGUCAUGUGAUCAGGAGGUCACGGGUUCAAGCCUUGGAAAUAGCCGCUGGCAGAAAUGCAAGGUAAGGCUGCGUACGAUACACCUUUGUGGUGGGGCCCUUCCCCGGACGCCGCGCAUAGCGAUAGCUUUAGUGCACCAGGCUGCCCUUGGGAGCUUAUCCUAUGUUUGGUUGGAACAAAAUGCAUGGGAUUAUUAAUCCCGGGAUAACUUGUUUUCCGACCAAACGACCCCUUAUGAAUGAAUGCUAGUGUAUCAUAAUCUCUUGGCUCUUAGUUGUAUUUGGAAUUUAUAUAGCAUAGGGAUAUAAGUAUACAUAAAAUUCUCAAUGGAACUUCUUGUACUGAAAGCCACACAUUAGAUUAAUAUUUACUGUGAACAUAACCAAGCUAACUGUGAUAUCUGUACCCUUUCCCUGCACAUUCAUCUGGGGGGGAACUAGACAAAAACCGCGGGUUUAGCUCAAUUCGCGAAGGUUGAGAGACUUGUGUCUUAAGGCACACAAAUUCGAGUCCUGCAUCAAGCGACUUAAGUUCAGUAUUUAAGUAGAGAAGGAUAGAGAGAUUUCUCGAUCAUUAAAAAAAAAAAAAACAAGAGAGAGAUUACAAAACACUUCAAUUCUUUAAGAAAAUGGAAUAAGAGUUCCACAAGCUUUCAUCAUCUUCUUGAACUCAUCAAAAUUCACCAUUCCAUCUCCAUCAACAUCAACUUUCUUUAUCAUCUCUUUACAAUAAUCCAAUUUUUUCCCCUCUUUCAUACCUAAAGUUGAUAGUAUCUUACUCAACUCUUCUUUUGAUAUUAAUCCAUCUUUAUCAUGAUCAAAAACAUCAAAAGCAUCCUUAAGAUCUUUCUCUCUAUUAGCUACUUCUUCUUCAUUCAUUUCACUUUCAUUACUCACUUCCUCUAUUCCCAAGUAUGUAUGACAAAGAUCACAAAACUCAUCAAGAUCAAUUAAACCAUCUUUAUUUGAAUCAACUUUCUCAACCAUUUCAACAAUAUCUUUGUCCUCCAUGAAAAUUCCAAUGUUCUUGAGAGAUAACUUCAAUUCUUGUUUUGUUAUGUAACCAUCAUUGUUCUUGUCAAAAGUUGCAAAAAUACUCCUUAGUUCAACCUUGUUGUAGUUGUUAGACCUAUUCAUCACCUUCUUAUCAACCAUGGUUAUUGAAGGUGAGGGUGUUAUUAUGGUCUUUUCUUGGAGAGAUGGAGAUUUUAGUGAAAUUUUUUGAAUCAAAGAUUGGAACUUGUUAGUUGGGAAAUUGAAAAAUGUUGUAAUAAGGCCAAUAAUGAAGAGAAAUGCUAAGAAAAGAAUGGUUAAUAGUGUAAACAUGUUUGUUUUGCUUUGUGGUUCUUGAAGUUGAAUGGGAAUAGGAAGAAGAAAUGAUCAAAGAGGAGAAUAUUAAGGUGAUAUUGGUGGAAUAUUGAAGCUUUAAAUGAAAAGAAACGAAGUGUCAAUGGGUUGUGAAGAUGAAGAUGCCCUUUGUCAAAAGUAAUUGGAGAACUAUUGAUAAAGAUUUAUGGUGGGUACCAUAUGUGGUGCAGUGAAUGAGGCUGCUCCUCUCUCAACCCUAGACGUCUCAGAUUCGAGCCCUGGGUAUGGGAGAAUCCUUGGUAGGGGUCCUACCCGACGUGAAUUCGGAUCAGUCGGGCUUCAAUGCGGGUUUCAGACACCAGAUGGGAAAUUUAAAAAAAAAAGUUUAUGAUGGGGUACAUAGGACAAUGAAAGAAGAAACCCAAAUUUGUCUUGUGAGUGUGAGAUAGGCAGAUAAGGAGUAUGCAGUCGAAUAACUAUUAUAGUUUUUAGUUGUGAUAAAUGAACUAAUUAGAUGGGCUGUUUCAAAUCUGGAGCUGACAUUUAAAUUGGAAAUCAAUAUCAUGCCCUGACUAUUCAAAAAAUACAGAUCGAAGCGAAAGAUCAUAAAAUGCAACAUAAUAAGGAGGUCAUUAGUCUGUAGCUUUCGCGAAGAAAGAAGCUAAUUAAUCAGAAUUGAGACAGGAAGAAGAGGCUAAAGAUUCAUUUGAUCUAAUUAAUCCUUUUACUUAAUUAGCAUAUAUAUAAAUUAGAUUAAUCUUGAUUGUAUUUAAAUUUUGAAUGCUAAUUUGAAUAGUAAGUAGAAUAUGAAAUAUGUAAUAUUUACAAUAUUUUCUUAAUUACAAAUUAAAAAAGUAAAGCAACUUUUGUUAGUGAAUGAUUAAUAGGCACAUUGUAGUCCCAUUUUUGUCCCCUAUUUUCUUUAAUCAUUGGUUUCUUUCUCUCUUUUUUCUUUAAUCAACUUUUUAAAGCUAUUCUCAUGUACGAAAUAUUUCGCGUUUAUGUUGGACAUGAGAAAAAAUAUACCCUAAAAUAUGACAUAAGUAGUCUUUUCCGAUGUAAAUAUCAGUAAUUAGUUUCACGGCUUGAACCCGUGCAAUAAAAAAAUUCAUAGUUCAAUUUUACCAAACAAUAAAAAGUUCUCUUAGUGACUUUAUUAAAGCAUUAUAUACUUUGCUUUGCUUUGCCUUCACCCAUAGUUAUAUUCAUUUGAUUUGGAUUCUUCACUCAACCCCCCCUACCCACACACACACGUUUACCCCCCAACCACCACACCCCACACAUAGAGGCGGAGUCGGGAUUUCAACUAAGGAGGUUCAAUAUUUGAAGAAAAUUUAACGGAAGGGGGUUUGACACCAACUUUAGAUACAUAAAACAUAAUAUUAAUCAUGUAUAUUGAUAUAUUUUUCCAUCGAAGACGGUUCGGAUGAAUCCCUAGCCAAAGACUCGCUCCGCCCCUGAGUCACACAAAACAAAAUGGAAUAUUUAGAUUCUUCUAAUUAUCUACACUAUCAUAGCAAAUUAGCCUACUAUAGCUCAUGUAACUGAAAAAUAGUCAUUGUUAUGAAUUUUCAAAUUCAAUUCGUGAAAUUUCAGGAUUUUAUCAUAUAGUUUUAAUUUCGUACGUAGAAUUUGAAACUCCAAAAUAAAUAGCUAUUUUUUAAAUAUAUAUAGUCGAAAAGUGAUCAAUGAGUGCUAUCUUUGUAAUUUUUCUAAGGGGAAAACCUCUUAGCCCAACACUAAUUAACAUAGCCCAAUACUUAUCUUUAGUCCAAUUAUUUUUUUUUUCAUCAGCCCAAAUGCUUAACUUAUAGUCCAAUCACAAAUUAUGCAUGUGUAAGUGAACUCAAAAUAUAUGGUUAUCGAGGAUUUCUAGAGCAUGGGUGCACUGUUAUAACACUAUCAUAAAUGAUCUAUGAAGGGAGCAUGAGUUCACGUGAAUCUGGUGACCUCUACCUAGAUACGCUCCUGAACGGACGCAAAAGGACUAGAUGAUUUUCUUUUGAGUUGUCCAAAUCGUAAUAGAUAGUUAUUCAGUAUGUGUAUUCAUGAAAGGUAGCAGAUACUUUGUCGAGUUAGUUGAGACUCAAUUUUAUUAGUCCGAACACCACGAUUAUAAAGAAAGAGAAAUUAUAACUUGUUAAGGUGGCUUCACCAUGUUAACUGGUGUUUCCAAAUGCCAAUUAUAUAAUUAUGGCAUGGAGAAGUGAUUGAUAUAAAUAAAGCUAGGUAUAUUUUUAAUUCAAAUUAUUCACAAUGUCUAAAUUUUAGAUUCACAAGAUGGAUAAAAAAAAUAUAAUUGUGUAAUCAGUCAUUAAUGCUUGUAUUGGUGUGGACUAUCUACAUCACAUUCUUUGAGUGUCGUUUAUUUGUUUUUUUGAAUCCUGCAUGAAUGUUAAAUACCUUGUGCACCAGACUGCCUCUUUAACUGCAUAAAAAAUAGAGUUGCGAAAACAACUGUUAAUACUCGCAUUAGGGUAGACUGAUAACAUGAUCACAUUCUUUAAGAUGUGCGGCCCUUUCUUGAACCUUGUGUGAGCGCGGAAUGGUUUGUACUCUAGGUUGUACCUUUGAACAGGCCGGAACGUAACUAGCAUACAACGAGGGAGUUCAUAACCCCUUUUAGCGAAAAAUCAAACUAUUUAUAUAAGGUUAAAAUUAUUGUUUUUUUUAUAUAUAUAGUAGAUGUUGAACUCCCUUCGACUAGUUCAUGCGUGCAAUUUUGAAUUCUCUCAAUGAAAAUUCUAACUCCGCUACUGUCUCUUUAACUGCAUUAAAAAAACAAAGUUGUAAAAACGAUCAUUAAUACUUGCAUUAAGGUAGACUGACAACAAAGGCGGAGUCAGUAUUUCAAUGAAGGGGGUUCCAUAUUCAAAGAAAACUUAGGAUUUCAACUAAGGGGGUUCCAUAGUCAAAGAAAACUUAGUCGAAGGGGGUUCAACACCUACUAUAACUACAUAAAAAAUAAUUUUAAUCAUGUAUAAAUAAUAUAUUUUUCCGUUGAAGGGGGCUCGGUCGAACCCCCGAAUAGAAGGCUGGCUCCGCCCCUGACUGACAACAUGAUCACAUCCUUUAAGAUGCGCGACCCUUCCUUGAACCUUGUGUGUACUCUAGAUUGUACUUUUUAACAGGGACGGAGCUAGCAUAGAAUGAGGAGUUAGCUCUACUACUGCCUCUUUAUCUGCAUAAAAAAAUAAAGCUGUGAAAACGACUAUUAAUACUUGCAUCAGGUUAGACUGACAACGUGAUCACUUCCUUUAAGAUGCACGAUCCUUUCUUGAACCUUGUGUGAGCGCGAAAUGGUUUGUACUCUAGGUUGUACCUUUCAACAGGGGCGAAGCUAGCAUACAAUGAGGGGGUUAAUAUAACCCCCUUCGACGGAAAAUUACUGAUUAAUAUUAUUUCUUAUGUAUAUAUAAUAGAUCACAUCCUUUAAGAUGCACGACCCUUUCUUGAACCUUGUGUGAGCGCAAAAUGGUUUGUACUCUAGAUUGUACCUUUUAACAGGGAUGGAUCUAGCAUACAAUGAGGGAGUUCAUAACCCUCUUCGACAAAAAAUUACACUAUAUGAUUAAAAUUAUUUUUUAUGAUUAUAUAGUAGAUCAGGAGUAACUGGUAAAGUUGCUGCCAUGUGAUUAGGAGGUCACGGGUUCAAGCCUUGGAAACAGCCUCUGGCAGAAAUGCAAGGUAAGACUGCGUACGAUACACCCUUGUGGUGGGGCCCUUCCCCGAACACCGCGCAUAGCGGUAGGUUUAGUGCACCGGGCUGCCCUUUUCUAGGUGUAUUUAGAUUAUUUAUACAUUACCCUAUUUAGACAUGGUUAAAAUUAUUUUUUAUGCAUAUAUAACAGAUGUUGAACUCCCUUCGACUAAUUCGUCUGUACACUUUGAACCCUCUCAAUCAAAAUUCUGACUCCGCUACUGCUUUUUAACUGUCUAAAAAACAGGAGGAGUUUGGGUGGGGGUGGAGGGGAGAGAUCGUUAGUAGUUAAUUUUUACAGCUAUUACACUAUUUAUACAUGGUUAAAAUUAUUUUUAUGCAAAUAUAACAAAUGCUAAACUCCCUUCGACUAGUUCGUCUGUACACUUUUAAAUCUUCUCAAUCAAAAUCCUGACUCUGCUACUACUUUUUAACUGCAUAAAACAUAGGAGGGGUGGGGUGGGGUGAUGGGGUACUGGGUGUGGGGUAGUUAGUAGCUGGUUUUUGCAGAGCACACGUGAAUUUACUUACACUGAGAAUUGCAGAGAAAAAACAUAUGCAUGCAGUCAUUCCCACUAAGUACUUGCUUAUGUACUCCUCUUACCUUUUGGGACUUUUGCAGUCCAAACCUAAUCUAAUAUUUUCCUGUCUUAUUCAGAAUUUAAACUUUAUAAAUUUUAUUAUAAAAUUUUAUCGACACAUCAUACUUGUAUAUGGUCGGGCCGGGGGUCUAUCGAAAACAGCGUCUCUACUUCAUCUAAGAUAGUGGUAUGAUCUGCGUACACUCUACCAACAGCCUAAUCUAAUAUUUUCCCUUUCUUAUUUAGAAUUUAAACUAUAUGAAUUUUAUUAUAAAAUUUUAUCAACGCAUCAUACUUGCAUAUGGUCGGGUCGGGGGUUUAUCGGAAACAACCUCUCUACUUUACCUAAGGUAGUGGUAUGAUCUGGUACACUCUACCAACAACCUAAUCUAAUAUUUUUCUGUCUUAUUCAGAAUUAAACUUUAUGAAUUUUAUUAUAAAAUUUUAUCAACGCAUCAUACUUGCAUAUGGUCGGGCCAGGGGUUUAUCGGAAACAGCUCUCUACUUCACCUAAGGUAGCGCUAUGGUUUGCGUACACUUUACCCUCCCCAGACCCCACUAUGUAGAAAUACGUUGAGUAUGUUGUUGUUGUUGUCGUCAUACUUGCAUAUGUAUCUCGUUUAGCUUUUUGAGGCGGAAUAUUAGCUACCACUAUCGUAUAGAAAUUGAAGCGGAGUCUCAGAGUAACUGAUAAAGUUGAGUAACUGAUAAAGUUACUGUUAUGCAUGUGACCUGGAGGUUACGGGUUCAAGCCUUGGAAACAGCUUCUGGCAGAAAUGCAAGGUAAAGCUGCGUACAAUACACCCUUGAGGUGGGGCCCUUCUUCGGACCCUGUGCAUAGCGGAAACUUUAGUGCACCGGGCUACCCUUUUAUUAUCGUAUAGAAAUAGCGGUCGCUGGUCAUUUUUUCAGUUAUGUAUCUGAAAACAAUUAUUAUCUUGAAAUUUCAAACACAAACACGAAAUUCAAUGAUGAUUUUAUUUUAAAUUUUAUCGAUGCAUCGUACUUGCAUAUGUAUCUCGUUUGGUAUAGCUUUUCGAGCCGCAACAUUAGCUACCAUUAUCGUAUAGAAAUAGCGAUCAGUAAUUAUUUUUUUAGUUAUGUAUCUGAAAACAAUCAUUAUCGUGAAAUUUCAAAUACAAACGCGAAAUCUAAUGAUGAUUUUAUUUUAAAUUUUAUCGAUGUGUCAUACUUGCAUAUGUAUCUCGCAUUAGGAUAAGUUACAGUACAUUUCUCCAAACCCCGCCGUUUAAAUGAUGUAUAGAUUGUUUACGUCAUACCUUUUGGUGUGAAGCUCAUUUCCGAACCUUAAGUGAAUGUAAAAUAUUUUGUACACUGAUUGCGAAAAUAUUUACAAGCUUCAACUUGCAAUGGACACAAACAAAAAACAAGCUGUAUAAUUAUCAAUGUGGACCUAAUAUUAUCUGGCUAAUAUAUAGUGACCAAUAGCAAUAUUAUUCUUAUUCUACAAGGUGCUAUAUAUAUAUAAUCUUUUCUUCUUUAUUUAAUUUUUCACAAAAAUUAUUAACAACAAAAAUUAUUCCUUUAUUUAUAUAUAAGAUAUUACGAUAGAAAUAACGUUCAAUAAUUACUUUUUGCGUCAUAUCUUUUUUAAAUAGACGUUAUUACAGAGUUUUAAAUUUUUACGAUAAAAAUUUCAUAGUAAUAUCCUGAAAUUAUAUGUGAAAUUUAAAACUUCAGGAUAGUAGCUAUUUUUUAAAUUACAUCAAGAUAAUAUUUAUUAGUAAAUUUAUGGUACAUAAGAAAAUAAAAUUAUUUGAGGGACCAUAAAAAACCCCAUACUUAAUUUUGUUCCAAAUAAAAUCAUGCCUACAUGGUAACAUGUGAUGGGAAUGGGAUGCCCUUAUUUUCUUUUCUUUUUUUAUGAUUAUUUUGGUUUAAUAAUUUAAAUAUUUUUUCAAAACUAUAUACUAUAUCAUUUUUUGUAUUUUAAUAAAAAAAAUGAUAUAAAUAUUUUUGUUUUUAUUCAAGAUUUACUACCCCAUCUAAUGUUGGCUCCUUUGCCCCACUAUGCACUCACCAUUUAUAGCAAUGUAGGCAUUAUGUGGGCAAAGUUAAACCUAUCAUGAUAAUGUUCGAGUCAGUUUUCGUGUAAUUUUAAAUUAUUUUAUCAAAUAUAUAUUACCGACCAUCUUCACAAAUAUCGAAAUUAUAUUUAAUGAAGCGAAAAUAUGCAUUAAUUAACCAUAGUUAAUUGAAAAUAACGUCUGUAUACAAACAUGUUGCGAGGUGUAUAUUGAUGUGAUGUUAACAUCGCGGGUAUAACAUCUAUAUACAAACACGUGCUAAGUAUAUACUGGUCUGACGUUAACAUCUCGAGUAAACAUUUAUACGUAUACAUGUGCUGAGUAUAUAUUGGUUUCACGUUAACAUCACGAGCAGAUGUGUAUAUACGUACACGUGGUAAGUAUAUAUCGGUCUCACGUUAACGCUGCAGGUAAACAUCUAUAUACAAACACGUGCUAAGUAUAUAAUCUUUUGACGUUAACGUCGAGUAAACAACUAUAUAUACAAACAAACACGUGCAAAGUAUAUAGUAGUCUGAUGUAAACACCACAAGUAAAUGUCUAGAUACACAAACACGUGCAAAGUAUAUAUGGGUCUGAUGUUAACACUGCGGGUAAACAUCUAUACACAAACACGUGCUAAGUAUAUAUUCUUUUGACGUUAAAACCAAGUAAACUUCUAUAUAUACAAACACGUACAAAGUAAAUACUGGUCUGACGUUAACACCGCGAGUAAAUGUCUAUAUACAGACACGUGCUAAGUAUAUAUUCUUUUGACGUUAAAACCAAGUAAACGUCUAUAUAUACAAACACGUGCAAAGUAAAUACUGGUCUGACGUUAACAUCGCGAGUAAAUGUCUACAUUCAGACACCUGCAAGUAUAUAUUGAUCAGAUGUUAACACCACAAGUAAAUGUCUGUAUACAGACACAUGCUAAGUAUCUAUUAGUCUGACGUUAACAUCGUGAGUAAAUAUCUACAUACAGACACGUACUACGUAUAUAUUGAUCUGACGUUAACACCACAAGUAAAUGUCUCCAUACAGACACGUACUAAGUAUAUAUUGGUCUGACAUUAACAUCACGGGUAAAUGUCUAUAUACAAACACGUACUAUAAGUAUAUAUUGGUUGGACGUUAACACCAAAUAAACGUCUAUAUUUACAAACACGUGCAAAGUAAAUGCUAGUCUAAUGUUAACACCGCAAGUAAAUGUCUGUAUACAGACACGUACUAAGUAUAUAUUAGUCUGGCGUUAACAUCGCGAGUAAAUGUCUACAUACAGACACGUACUAAAUAUAUAAAGAUCUGAUGUUAACACCGCAAGUAAAUAUCUAUAUACAGACACGUACUAAUUAUAUAUUGGUCUGACGUUAACAUCGCAAGUAAAUGUUUAUAAACAGACACGUACUAAGUAUAUACUGAUCUGACGUUAAAACCGCAAGUAAAUGCCUACAUACAGACACGUGUUGAGUAUAUAUUGAUCUGACGUUAACAUCGCGAGUAAAUUUUUAUCCUUUAUUGACCAAUAUGCCCUCCUUCCCCUCUAUAAAGUUGGUUUAAUCAUAGACAACACACUAUAUGCUAUUGUGGUCCAUACUAAAAACACUUUCUCUCUCUUUUCUCUCUCUUCAUUCCUCUUGAAGAUUAUUUUACUAUAGUUUAAUAUAUAAUAUAAAGUCCUAUCAUUCUUUUCCACAGCUUUCUUGAACUAUUUUAUGCUGGAUUAUCAUCUUUGGUAAUUAUUAGGUUACUGCCAGAAAAUCGCUAAUUUGUUUACAGACGUCUGGAUAGAAUUUAGCUCGCGUGUGUCACUAACGAGCCAAAUUCUGAUGGAUUUAUUUGGAAAUUAGCGAUUUUCUAAUAGUGCGAUGAGAUUAAGCUAUGAAAGUUCAAGAAAGUUGUGGGAAAACAUGGUGAAUUUAGGACUUUUCUUGAGUGAAAUUGCUAUUUUUAUGGAGGAUGUUUGGUUCAACAUUUUGCUAUAUUGGACAUAUAGCCCAUGGUAAAUUCUUGAAAUUGACUUUUACAUUUUUUAAUUAUUAUUGUAUAUAUACUUGUAAUUAUUUGGUUUAAUCCAAGAAAAUUCUGUACAUGUUACACCUUUUACUUUUUUGUUAUAUUAAGAGCAAAGCAUCUAGGAGCUUCUUGAAUUAUGACUGAAUUUGCUACGACACACUGGAGUUAGUUUUACGGGGAUUCUAUUAUCCCUCUGAACCAAAUUUUAGCAUAUUUUUGUUAUUCUUUUUAGCUGAUGUGACACCUUUUGUCAUCCUUUUUAGCUGACAUGGAACCUUUAACGUGGACCCCAUUUUAUGUAAUAAAGGUGUCACCAGCAUAAAAGAGUGACAAAAAUACGCUAAAAUUGAGUUUAGGGGGGGGGGAGGGGGUAAUAUAGGACCAUUGUGAAAUUAGAGUAUGUCAUAGCAACUUUGGCCAUAAUUCGGGGAGGUACUGGAUGCUUAUAUCAAACAUUUUGAGAAUUAUAGUUUUUGAAUUCUUUUUCAUAUUUUCCCUUUCUAUAUUAUUGGCUUCUUCUACAUAUUUUUAUUUCAGAAAGUAGAUCUCAUGUGUGGAAUUUUUGAAUUUAUUUCCUUUUGGUUUAAGAGUUUUAAUUUUUCUUCAAUGGAAUGAAGUAUUGAUUAUUUACCAUAUUAUGUGGGAAUUUAUGAAUUCUAGAUUUUGAAUUAAAGCAAGGUAAUUAUAUCAUUUUUUUUCAUUCAUUAAUUGUAUAAAAAAUAUUUUACAUUCUUUUAUUUGAUUAACCAUCUCUCAUGAACUUCAUUCAUAGUAGUUUAACUUAUGAUAGCAAGUCAACUAUCAAUUUUAUCUUCUUAAUUAUAGUAUUUAUUAUAAAAACCUGCUUAGUAUAAAACUUUCUUGAAAGUGAUCUGUAUAUAAAAAAUAAUUUAUGUGAAAAACUUAAAUCUUAUUGAUUUGAUUUUUAUGAAUUUUGAGUAAAAUAAAUAUUCAGAAUGGUGAAAAAUUAAUAAGAUAAUAAGUGGCAGGUAAGAUUGCUUAUCUUUCUUUCGAUAUUUCGAUGCACAAAAUAUUCCACAUUUAUAUAUCAUCUUGUGAAAGAUAAUAAGUGGUUGAUAGGAUUCAUUGUCUUCCUUUGAAUAUUCCGAUGCACAAAGCAUCUGACAUUCAUAUAUGAUCCAGUAAAGAUCGCACUCGAGAGAUGUGAAAAAUGAGAUAAAUAAGUGGCAAAUAAUAUAAGAUUCUUGAUCUUUAAUUUUUUUUGAAUAUUCCAAUGCACAAAGCAUUCGGUAUUCACAUAUGAUCCAAGAAAGAUAAUAAGUGGCAGAUAAAAUUCUCGAUCUUUAAAUUUUUUUGAAUAUUUCGAUGCACAAAGCAUCCGACAUUCACAUAUGAUCCAGUAAAGAUCGCACUCGAGAAAUGUGAAAAAUGAGAUAAUACGUGACAAAAAAGAUUCCUGAUCUUUAUUUUUUUUGGAAUAUUUCAAUGCACAAAGCAUUCGGUAUUCACAUAUGAUCCAAGAAAGAUAAUAAGUGACAGAUAAAAUUCUCGAUCUUUAUUUUUUUUUUUUGAAUAUUUCGAUAUUCAAAUAUUCGAUAUUUAUAUAUGGUUCGGAGAAAGAUCGCAUCACAUAAAAAAUGAGAUAAUAAAUUUGCAGAGAAUAUUCCCUAGCUUUCCCUUUAUUACUAUCAAUAAUUGAUAUUGUUUAUAUCAUUUAUUUCCAUGUAAAAGGUUAAUUUUUGUUACUAUCUGAAAAAAAAAAAAAAAUUAUUUACCCUACUUGUGAAUUUACAUCGUAACUAUAGUUUAUAACAACUUUUUAUGGUUUUAUAAACCAUUAUUUAUAAAUGCAAUUUUAUAUUCAAUAUUCUAUGAAAAAUAAUAUAAGUUACUAUUAUAAUGAAAGUGGUAACUAACAUGUUACCGUAGGUAGAGGCAGAGUCAGAAUUUCAUCUAAGGAGGUUCAAUAAUUAAAGAAAAACUAGUUGAAGGGGAUUCAACGUCUAUUAUAUAUACAUUAAAAAAAAAAAAAAUUUAGUCAUGUAUGAACAAUAUAUUUUUUUUGUCAAAAGAAUUUUGGAUGAACCCCUAGCCAAAGGAUAGCUCCGCCCUUGAUCGUAGGCACUGGCAGAGUUCAAAUUUUACUAACGAGAUUCAACAUAUAUCCGAACGUAAAUCCACAAAUAGAAUUUGAAAAUGAUAAAAUAUACGCAUUACGAAAGACUGUCAGUUGACUCCCUUAAAUAGAAAUGACUUUUUUUUCCACUAAUCACAUAUUAGUACCAAAAAUAUUUUAUCAUAAUAAAGUGGUUGAUAUGUUUUAAUACCUAAAGAUUUUAAUAUUUAUUCCACACCAAUAUAAUAUCAGAGUUAUUAUUUGCAAAUUAAUAGAGGAAAAUCAUUAAUUGCCAACUUGCUAGGGAAAAUAUAAUUAGUGGCAAAUAAUAAUCUUGCAGGUAGUACUUCUUAAUUUAUUAAAUGUGAUAAAAUUAUAUGUGUAGUAAUUUUACAUAAAUAAAAAUUACAAUAUUAGCUCCACAUGCAUGAUUAUUAUUCAGUAUUCGAAUUUCACUGGCUAAAUUAUUAUUUGUAUUUUUCACUUCGAUUAAGUGUGAAAGAAUCUUUGACAAUCGACCAAUCGAGGAGGCAUUACAUGUUUCAUUUCUAUUUAUUUAUAUUAUAAUGUCCUCGAAAUAUUAAAAUAUCAAAAUUAAGAAUCGAAAUGACUAAAAUAUUGUUAAAAACCCUUUCAACUCUAGAAAUUUUCUAUGAAUUGAAUGCAUGUAAUUUUGAAAAGGGAUAAUACUUACAAAAAUAGCUGAAAUUUAAUCGAAUUUUUAGUUGAGCAUACUGAACUUUGUGGGGGUCCUAUUAUCCCCCUAAAUUUUUUUUUUUCGUAUUUUAAUGGCAUAUAUCUGCCACUUGGACACGUAUAAAUAUGACACGCGCUAAUACACGUGUAAAAACGAGAUUGUCGCGCCGCUGAAACUGGGUAUAGAGGGGGCGGGGGAAUUAAAUCCACUUUAAAAAGUCUAGGAGGGUAAUAGAACCCCCGCAAAGUUCAGUAUGAGUCUAGGAGGGUAAUAGAACCCCCGCAAAGUUCAAUAUGCUCAACUGAAAAUUCGAUCAAAGUUCAGAUAUUUUUAUGAGUAUCAUCCCUUUUGAAAAUCGAAUAUAUAUAUAAAUCUAUGUGGCUCCGCGUCUGACUACUAAAUUGUCCUUAAGAAUGUAUAUAUACUUCCAAAAACAAAAUAGUAACAUUUGUCAAUCAAAGUAUAAGUAGAAAAUUGAUAAAAUAAUGAGAUUUGUCAAUCAAAGUAUAAGUAGAAAACUGAUAAAAUAAUGAGAUAAACAAUCAGUAUCUUCGAACUAUGGUUAAAGUUAUUAUGACACACUUUAAUUUUACAGGAUUUUUACUACCCUCGAAACUCAAUUUUAGCCUAUUGUGUCACCCUUUUGUGUUGACGUAGCACUUUUAUUACAUAAAAUGACGCCCACGUCAAAAGUGUCAUGUCAGCUAAAAAGGUUGACAAAAGAUGUCACGCCAAUUCAAAAGGAUGACAAAAAUACGUUAGAGUUUAGUUUUGAAGACUAAUAGAACCCCCGUAAAGUUCAAGUGUAUUGUAACAUAUUCAAUCAUAAUUCAGGGAUACUAGAUACUUCCUCCGUCCCAAAUUAUCCGUCUCAAAUUGAGAUGGCACAAUAACUAAGAAAAAUAAUUAAUAACAUGCCUAGUUUAACAUAGUACCCCUAUUAAAUGAUGUUUACAUUUAAUUUGAAGAAAAAAUAAUUAAUGCAAAGCGUAAAACAUGAAAAAAAAUUUCUCUUCUUGAUUAAUGAAAAAAGACAAGUAAAAUAAGAAAUCAAAUUAGGAAAUUUGGCACGGAGGGAGUACUUUACUCUAAACUAAUUGAAUAGAUGUAAUGCUUUGGAAUUCAAAGAAACAAACCAUGCACAAAUUUUUUAAAUAUGGUCAAAUUUGUUUCCCCAUAAAAAUCAUAUCCCAAUAAAUUUUCCAAAAUGUCAACAUGAAUAUCCACUUUUCCUGCAUUUAAAACAGCAAAUAUUCAGGCAUGCAUGAAUAUAUAUAUAUAUAUAUAUAUAUAUAUAUAUAUAUAUAUAAAUCAUUUACUUCCAGAAAAUAGGAGAAAGAAAAUAACUACGUUUAUCGAUUGGACAAGUAGCAAAUAUUCGAUGAAAUAAUUGAUUUAUUCAAUUGAUACAAUCCUUAAUAAGAGGUUUUGAGCUCUAGAAAUCGACAAAAUCAUAAUAGUAAAGAUGAAAAAAUAGUCACUUUCUCGACUUAAUUAUGAUUGAAAAAUAGCUGAGUAAAGCAACUAGUACCUCCCUGAACUAUGACCAAAUUUGCUACGACACGCUCUAACUUCACAGGGGUCCUAUUACCCCCAUGGACUAAAUUUUAGCAUAUUUUUUUUAAUUUUUUUAGAUGACGUGACACCUUUGACGUGGAUCCUAUUUUAUAUAAUAAAGGUGUCACGUUAGCACAAAAGGAUGUCAAAAAUACGCUAAAAUUGAGUUCGGGAGUUAACAGGACUUUUGUAAAGUUGGAGUGUGUCGUAGUAACUUCGGUCAUAGUUCAAGGGUACGUACUAGAUGCUUAUCUCAAAAUAGCUAGAUUCAAACGUCAUUAAUAAAAUAGCCAAUUUUCGAAAUCGGCUACAGUAUCCUAGAUUUUUCACUUGUUUAAGUUCGAAAUUUUCAUGAUACCGACAUAAUGUUUAAUCAGUGAAUUCUGAAUACCAAAUAAAUUAUUUAUAAAAAAAAAAAAAAAACUUAUUUUUACUUUUGUGUGUGGGAUCUUUUCAUUGACAACUAAGACAGCCAAAUCAACACAAGAUUAUUAUGUUUGAUAAUUAUUUUCUUUAUCUUUCAAUGCUUUAAUUUCUUCCAAUUUUUUCCAAUUAAAUAAUCAAAAGAAAAAUAAAAGGUGUCUAAUCUUAACUUUUUAAUUCAAUCCUGUCUUUUUUUUGGGCCAAAAGUUAAAUAACAUUUGCCUAUGAUAAAACAAAAUUCUAACUUUUUUAACUAUUAGUAAUUAUUAUUAGCUAAGUCCAAAUAUAAAAUUGCAUGUUGCAUCCCAAUAUGUUUAACUUUAAACCAACAGUGUCAGUGGGAAAUUUUUUUUUUAAAAAAACUUGACCUCUAAAGUAAAAGCAAAUAAAGCAAUUUAUAUUUAAAACAUUUAACUUUAGUACUAAGUAUUAAUAAAAGCAAAUAAAGCAAUUUAUAUUUAAAACAUUUAACUUUAGUACUAAGUAUUAGUGUGGAUUUGGACAUACAAACAACAACAACAUACCCAAUAUAGUCUCACGAAAUGGGGCCUAAGAAAGAUAAAGUAUACAACGGAGCCAAGAUUUCAACUCAGAGGAUUCAAUAUUUGAAGAAAACUUAGUCGAAGGAGGUUCACGUACUAUAGAUACAUAAAAAAUAAUUUUAAUAAUGUAUAAAUGGUAUAAUUUUUCGUCGAAGGAGAUUCGGAUGAACCCCUGCAUGCCAAAGGGCUAGCUCCGCUCCUAGCUAGUGUACAUGAACUGUACCUUUAUAUCAGAGGUGAGGUAGAGACGCUAUUAACGAUAGACACCCGGUUCAAGACAAAGACAGUCUAAAAAAAUGUUAUGAACAAAAGAUAGUAACGAAAACAACAGAUAGUGUAGCUGAAUAUUACUAUAAUCAAAUAACUCUUGAAUCCGUCCAUAGCCAACAUUUCACACCUCCGCAAUGACCCAUUCAUGCAUCUCCUCAUAACAAGCCUAAACCAUCUCAACCUCGCUUCCCGUAUCUUGUCUUCCACUGAAGUCACUAUUUUGGACGUAAAAAUUGUGAAAUUCGAAAAAAAAAAGUAGUAUUUGAUCUCAAGUUGAAAAUGGAAGAUUAUUUGAAAAUCGAAAUUGUGUUUGGAUAUGAAUACAAACUGAAGUUAUUUUAAAUUUUAUGUAAGUAAUUUGGGGUGAAAAUUGUGAAAACAGUAUUUUCGUGUUCUUUUUAUUCCAAAAAAUUAUAACAAUUCUAUAUCAAAAUAGUUUUUUCAGAAUAAUAUUUCAGAAAAAAGUGAAAAAAUAUUCAUGACCUAAUGGGCAAUUAGCAUCCAAGAAUGUGAAAUCAAAAAAAAAAUAAAAAAUCUCACUAAGUAUUGUUUUAAACUUUUAAUUAGAAUAAUUGUCAAGGAGUCAGCUUCUGCAAUAACAGCUAAUAUAAUUAAAAUGAAAUAAAUUCACUAUAUUUAUAUUGAAUACUUUACAUGCAUGUACCUGCAAAGGACAAUAUAUAAUUGGACUAAAUUUUAUUAUACAUUAGUACAUAUAAAUAAUUAAUAACUUUUUUCCAGUACAAAUCUGUCAUGACCUGGCACAGAUCAUAAUGAAUAAUCAAGCAAAUAUGUAAUUAAGUUUAUCUUCUAUACACUCAUAAUGAAUAAUAUAAUUUUUUCCAUCACCAAUUAUAGGGCUUGUUUGGUAAAAGAGAUAAAAGAGAUAACUAAUCUCGAGAUUAAUUUUAAGAUGCGAUUAUCCUAUGUUUGGUUGAAAAAAAUGCACGGAUAACUCAUUGUGGAAUUAGUUAUCUCAAGAUUGUAGUGUUAUUUUUAACGAUGGGAUAACUAACUAGAAUAACUAAUCUCAAAACAAUUAAUUCCAGGAUAACUUAUUUCCCAGCCAAACGACCCUUAAGUAAAUGAAACCACUGCUUUCCUAUUAGUUGUCAUGUUUAUUCAUUGUCGUUUUUUCCUUUUCGUUACUACUUUAAUUUGUUUCAUUUGAGUCGAGAGUCUUUUCAAAACAGUUUCCCUACGUACCUUCAAAUGGUAGGGGUAAGAUAAGAUCUGCAUACACCUAUAUAUAUAUAUAAAAAGAAACAAUUUUUCUUUAUGUCAUACAAAGAAGAAGUAAAAGUGGGAUCUGAUCAUAUAAAAUUAAAGCAAGAAAAAGAUUAUAUACUAUAUAUAUGUUUUUUUUGUUUUUUGUUUUUCAUCCGGUGUCCGGUACCUGCAUUGGAAACCGACUAAUUCGAAUUCGCGCCGGGUAGGGCUCCAUUUGGGGUAGUGCUCCCAACAGAGUUUUUCUCCAUGCCCAAGGUCGAAUCCUCAACCUCUGGUUAAGGGUGGAGCAGCCCCAUCCGCUGCACCACAACCCAUGUUGGUUACUAUAUAUAUGUUCAUCUACUUUCAACAUGGUUGUAUUUGAUAUUAAUAUGGAGAGAGCAUACAUAAUAUUUUUCUCUUGAAGUGAUUUAUUAAUGCUGCAAUAUUUAUAACUUCUCUUUCUGCAAAUUUUAAAGUUGUAGUGGUUAAAAUGGCUGGCAAAUUAGCUAUGGCCUGACAUAAUGAAAUACCUUACCUAAUUUAAAUAAAUACCUUUAAUAAAAUUUAUGUAGACAUAGUUGGGAAGGCUCCAUAUGAGAAGGAAAUGACAAGAUUGUGGUCCAUAUUAAAUUCCAACAAAAUGGAAAUUUUCAUAAUUGCUAUGAAGUAAAAUGGUGCUCAUGCAUUAUUUCUUUUGAGUGUAUAGUAUAUCGGAAACAACCUUUCUACUUCAUCUGAGAUAGUGGUAGGACUGCAUACAUUUUAUCCUUCUCAGACUUCACUUUAUGGGAAUACACUGGGUAUAUUAUUGCUGCUGUUGUUGUUAUUAAGUCAAUAGUCUAUCGGAAACAGCCUCUAACGGUAUGAACUGUGUACACUUUACCCUCUCCAGAUUCCACUUUAUAGGAAUAUAUUGGGUAUGUUGUUGUUGUUGUUGAGUUGAUAGUCUAUCGAAAACAACUUCUUUACUUUAUUUGAAGUAGUGGUGUGGACUGCGUACACUUUACCCUCUCCAGACUCCAUUUUAUGGGAAUACACUGGGUAUAUUGUUGUUGUUGUUGAGUCAAUAGUUUAUCGAAAACAACUUCUUUACUUCAUCUGAAGUAGUGGUAUGGACUGUGUGCACUUUAUCCUCCUCAGACCCCACUUUAUAGGAAUACACUAGGUAUGUUGUUGUUACUAUUGUUGUUGUUGAGUCGAUAGUCUAUCAGAAACAGUCUCUCUACUUCAUCUGGAGUAGUGUGGUAUGGACUGCGUACACUUUACCGUCCCCAGACUCUACUUUAUGGAAAUACACUGGGUGUAUUAUUGUUGUUUUUGAGUCAAUAGCCUAUCGAAAACAACCUCUCUACUGCAUCUGAGGUAGUGAUAUGGACCGCAUAAAUUUUACCCUCCUCAAACUCCACUUUAUAGGAAUACACUAGGUAUGUUGUUGUUGCUGUCGUUGUUGUUGAGUCAAUAGUCUAUCGAAAACAGUCUCUUUACAUCACAAAGAAAGAAAUAAGGUUUGUGUAUAUCAUUCACAAAGAAAGAAAUAAGGUUUGUGUAUAUCAUGCUCUUUUCAAACUCCACUUGUGAAUUACACCGAAUACGUAGUUAUUGUAUAUAUAAUCCACGAAAAGAGGCUCAAGUUUUUUUUUUGUUUUUAUUUUUCACCUGACGUGGAGUACUCAUUUUGGGAGUAACUCUGACUAAUCCAAAUUCACGUUAUGUAAAUGUUCAUAUUUUAAUAGAGUUAAAAGGAUCGAGACCUAUAAUUAAAGAUGGAGAGAUGUUACCUAUAUAUUCACCACAAGUAUUGGUGGUGAAACUUGAAAGGGAUCAAAUAUGGUAAAAAAUUCUUAGAUCAAACAUAGUAACAUACAAAAAUAUAGAUCAUAUAAAUUAGUAUGAAAGUUUAAUAUGUACCUAUUUGAGGAUUGAUGUACAAUACUAGGCCUCAGUGGAACAAAUACCACAUGUUGGACAGUUCAAUGCACUAAAAUUUUCGCUAUAUUUAGGGUUAACGAAAGAGCUAGACUACAAGAGUCUACUGUACGUACCGUACCCUGCAUUUAACAAGAGACUGUUUUCACGACCUGAACUCACAUGAAGGCAACUUUACAUUGACUGUACGUACCAUACCCUGCAUUUAACAAGAGACUAUUUUCACGAUCUGAACUCACAUGAAGGCAACUUUACAUUGACUGUACGUAUCGUACCCUGCAUUUAACAAGAGACUGUUUUCACGACCUAAACUCACAUGGAGGCAACUUUACAUUGAUUGUAAAGUAUCGUACCCUGCAUUUAAAAAGAGACUGUUUUCACGACCUAAACUCACAUGAAGGCAACUUUACAUUGACUGUACGUACCGUACCCUACAUUUAACAAGAGACUGUUUUCACAACCUGAACUCACAUAGGCAACUUAACAAUGUAAGAUAUUCAAUACGAGUUCAGUAAAAUUCAAUAAUUUUGAUUCAAACCUUCUAUAUAUGUUAGAGAAAUUUACCAAAUGCAUACAAAAUAAAAUUCAUAAUUGAAAUUAAAUGUUGUUUAUGAAAUUAAACCAAUUGCUUUCUUGAGUUGGGGUGGGGGCCUAUAAUACUAUAUUAAUUGGAACUUAUGGAAAGAUUAAAAAAGGACACCAUGUGAUAACAAAUCACUAAAAACCAAACAUGGAUUAAUAAAGUUACAAAAAUAUAAAUCAACAAAUAAAGUUUCCAACAUAAUUCACAAAAUUGAGAAAUAAUAGAUCUAGUGAUAGAGAAUAACUCACCAAUAAUAAUUUCUCAUUCAGAAUUUUCACUAAUGAAAUUCAAUUCAAUAUAUAAAGAAUUGAUAUAUGUACACACAAUAAUAGAUCUAAUAAGCAGAAUCAUGAAUUUCACUAAUAAAAUCCAAAAAUAUAAAAAGUUAGAUAUAUAGAAAAAAAGUCAAAGAAUUCAAUAUAAAGCCAAAGUCGGAAGACCGAACCAAAGCACCAACCGAAAUAGAACAAGAUCAUCAAUUCACCAUGAAGUAAUAAUAAUAAUAAUAAUAAUAAUAAAAUCUGCUAAUUAUAAUUUUUGAAUAAUAAAAAGAAUAAAAAUAUAUAUGCUGUUGACUCUAUAUGUAUCUUCCCACAGCUUUAUUGAACCCCAAAAAUUUUAAUUAAUUCUCUUCAUCUUAACCAAAAAAAAAAAAGAAUUAAAAUUUUGAUUUAUGCAGUUCAAGAAAGCUGUGGAAAAGUACAAAAAGAGUCAUUUUGUACACAAACAAAAAAAAAAAAGUACCCCUCAUUAACCCUAAAUAGGGUUUCUUGAAAAAAUAAAAAAUAUUUUUUUUCUCUCUCUUUUUUUUUCUUUCUCAUUUUGUGUUGUAAAGUGUUGUUUGAGGAGAAGAAUGAACAACCCUACUUUUUCUAUAACUACUAAAAAAAGCCAAAUUUAUUUCACCCCAUUAAUUAAUUUAUUACUCUUUACCACCAAAAAAAUAUGAUGCAGUGGAUGAACGGCUCCUCCCUUAGUUAAAGAUUUCAGAUUCGAGUUCUGAAUAUGAAAAAAAUCUUAGUUGAAAGCGUUAUUCCUGAAUGGAGUUCUACCCGACACAAAUUCGGAUUAGUCGAAUUUCAAUGUAGGUAUCGAACAUUGGAUGAGAAACCAAAAAAAAAAAAAUUAUUGCUUUUUUUGUUUCGAUUUAGGUGGCACGGUUUGAUUUGACUGGAUAUAUAGAAAAAAAAAAGAAAAAAAAUAACAUAAAUAUGCAUCUUAACUUAUCAUAUUUAGACAUAUCUGCAUUCUUAUAAAGUAAUUACAGAAAUUUCAACUAAAUAUAUAUCUUCGUUAGAUGUAUCAAGAGCUAAUUAUGUAUCUCGACAGUUUCAAAAUAGAAAAAAUUUAUCGAGAGCUAAUUCUGUAUCUCGACAGAUUCAAAAUAUAAAAAACGUAUCGAGAACUAAUUAUGUAUCUCAACAAAUCCAAAAUAGGAAAAAAUAUAUUGAGAGCUAAUUAUGUAUAUUUAUAAAAAAAAAUUAUAUCUUUAUUGAAUGUAUUAUGUAUCUCGACAGACCCAAGAUAGAAAAAACGUAUCGAGAGCUAAUUAUGUACCUUUAUAAAGGAAUUCAAUUAUGUACCUUUAUAAAGGAAUUCAAAUGUAUCUUUUUUGGAUGUAUCGCAAGCUAAUAAUUAUAUAUUUCGACAGACCCAAAAUUGAAAUUUUCAGUAAUUAUGCAAAAUGUAUAAAUCUUUUGUAAUGAAGUUUCAAAUUAUCGAGAUUUAUGUUUGCCUAAAAAAAGAUUCAUUUUUGAACUUUGUUAUUUAAAACAAAUCUUAAGCAGUUAGGUUGCGAUAAAUUAUUUAAUUUUGUGUAAAAGAAAUUUUAAAGUCAAUUAAACUAAUAUAGAAAAGUAAUAUUUUUAUACAAAUUAAAAAGGAAAAAUAUCGCAUGAACUGAAAUACGUUGAGUUCUACUAUAUAAAGCUAAAUUAUUUAAAAUGAUAUCCAGUCAAAUAUUAUCUAAUAUUAUUGAGUUUUAUACUGUUAAAUUAUUUAUAGUGAUAAUCUGAAUAAUAUUUGGUUACUAUUAAUACAUAAUGUAUUUGUCUAAUGUCAUUAUAUAUUAGGCAUAUUAAUACAUGGUGCAUACAAGAUCGUGUCUAUAAAAUUGGUGGCCUAAAGCUAGAUUUAAAUAUUAGGCAUUAAUUAUAUACAUAUAAAAAAAUAUUAUUAAUAUUUAGAGUUAAUUUUGAAUUUUGCGUACUACUUUUUUCUAAUGUAUUUUUGUUAAAAGACAUUAAGCAUUUUACUUCAGGUAGUAAUAUUGUUAUUUAUAAAAAUAAGGAUCAAUUUUAAUUAAUAAGAUAUUAGUUAUUUGUUUGCAAUGCAUUACCUUGAAUGUUGUUGUAAUAACUUUAUUUAUAAAUAUUAAGAUUUGCGUAUUUGUUUUAAAGUUCUAAUAAAUUACUUUUGAAAAAUUUUUAGAUAAAUUCUUCUUCUUUUUUCAAUUUGAUACCUUUUAUAUUUUGUAAUCUUUAAUAUUAUUUUGAGUAAAAUUAAAAUCAUAAAUUUAUAUUAAUUUUUUUGAGUCUCAAAAUUUUGGAGCGUUUGCUUAAGCCACCCCCAAGUGCCUAUGUAUAACGUCUGUUUUUUUUUGUUUCUCAUCCAGUGUAUGAUGCCCACAUUGGAGUUCCGACUAAUUUGGAUCGCGCGUUGCAGGGUCCAUUAAGGUGGGUAGCCACCCCCGAGUGCCUAUGUAUAACGUCCUUUUUUUUGUUUCCCAUUCGGUUUCCGGUGUCCGCAUUGGAGCCCCAAUUAAUCCGGAUCACGCAUUGCAGGAUUCAUAAGGUGGCAACGCUCCCAACAGAGUAGCCACCCCCGAGUGCCUAUGUAUAACAUCUUUUUUAUUUUGUUUCUCAUCCGGUGUCCAAUGUCCGCAUUGGAGCCUCGACUAAUCCGAAUCGCACGUUGCAGGGUCCAUUAAGGUGGCAGCGCUCCUAAUAGAGUUUUCUCUAUAUCCAAAGUCAAACCCUCGACCUCUAGUUAAGGAUGUAGCAGUCUUAUCCACCGCACCUCAACUCACGUUGGUGGCUAUGUAUAAUGUCAUUACAUGUUCAUUAUAGUAUUUGUCACUUUGUGUAACAAACAAAUGAAUUAAAUAAAGUGAUCUCUAAUUGAGAGGUGAAUAUACAACCUUAUCGAUUGAUUGGUGGUUGUGUUUUGGCUUAGUGGGCACACAUUUAUGGGUCCCUUUUAUAGAUCUGUCCAUUUUAUAAUUUUCAACUUAUUGAUUUAUUAUAAUAUGGCCAUAACUUUUUACACCUAAUAAAUAUAUAAACCAGGGGUUAGAGUUUGUAACUCAAAUUCUGUUGAUUCGAUCUUAAAUAAAAAGUUUGUGGUUGAUUUAUGUUUGUAAUUUUUUAUACGCAUGUAUUAUAUAAGUGCAAUUUAGUGAGUUGUUUUGGGCGAUUUUGUAUACGUCAUUGAGACUUUCUUCUGCUCAUUGUACCCUCUCGUCCAUUAUAGUGAAUUCCUCCGCAUCUAUCCGUAGUUUUUCAUCCCGUCAAGAAUUUUCACGUAAAUCUGUAUGUCUUCUUCUUGCAUUCUUUUACUUUUUAGUAUUGCUUAUUCUGUCCGAACAUAACAAGGGGUACCCGAAAGAAUUUAUUGAUCAUAUAUAGGGAGAUAUUUUCAUUUCUUUCUUUUUGAUUUCGUUUAUGACAUCCAUCCCGUUUCGUGUUUCAUUAUGGCCUUGGUGUAUUAUUCUCUAUCUUGAGUCGUGGGUCUAUCAGAAACAACCUCUCUAUUUCUGCGGAGGUAGCGGUAUGAACUGCGUACAUCUUACCCUUCCCAGACCUCACUUUGUGGGAAUACACUGAGACUGUUGUUGUUGUUGUUGUUGUUAGGGUACACCUAUUUAUGUCGUGUUUGGUGAUAACGUCUGCAACUUGAUUUUCUUCUCUAUAGUCUGUAUCAGUAUUGGAUCACAUAAUAUUAUUAGAAUUCGUAGUAAGCAUUUCGAUAUCCUUAUUGUCGUUGUCAUUCUUUAUUGUCUUUUGUACCUUUAUUACAUUUUCUUAGACUGUAUUUUUUCUUAAGUCAAGAAUUUAUCGAAAAUAGCUCUUUACCUCACCUCUAAGGUAUGGUAUGGACUGUCUAUAUAUAUACUUUACCCUUUUCAGACCUCACUAUGUGAAAAUACACAAUAAUCGUGUCUUACAGAUCAUGUCUAAUUUUCAUUACAUUUUCAAAUUCUAUGUCCAAUCAAACACGUAUACACAUAGAAUUAAAAGAAAGGCAAACAACAUAAAUUUCGAUAAUUUGGAGUUAAUUACGAAAAAAUUUGAAAUUGUGUAUAAUUACUUCAAUUUUGGAUCUGUCAAGAUAUAUAAUUAGCUCGGAAUACAUCCAAUAAAGGUGCAUAAUUAGCUCCCAAUAUAUUUUUUUUCGAUCUUCAAUUUGUUGAGAUAGAGAAUUAGCUCUCGAUACAUCCAACAAAGAUACAUAAUUAAUUGAUAUCUUUAUAAUUACUUUCUGACGAUAAAGAUUUAGAUAAAUAUGAUAAGUUAAACUCUAUGUUUAUGUUAUUUUUCAUUAAAAAAAAUAAUAGUAACUAUUUUUCAAAACUAACUAUCAAAAAAGUGAUGGUGAACUUUUUUUUUUUCUUUCUUUCUUUUUUGUAAAAAAUAUAAUUUUAAUUUUUUUUUUAUUUAAAUAAAUGAAUAUAAGGUUGUUCACAUGGAAGCAUGUGAGGGGGACCCACCAAUCGGGAAAAAUGACAUUUACCCCCCGAUAUUUCCGGAUUAAGGUUUCUUUGUCUCUCUUUUGUACCCCGACACUUUUAUUGCCUGCCAUUAUAAACCCCCACUAUCUUCCAAUAAGCCAAAUUUAACCCCCAUAUUUUAUUAUUAUUUUUUUGUGCUUUUUUUUUUAAAAAAAAAAAUAUAUAUAUAAUACAAUUCAUUACAUAUUUGUGUGUUUCUCUAAUAUUAUAUCCACAAUAUGUAAAUACAUAUAAGAUUUCAAGUUUUGUGUACAAAAUAUUUUAUAUUAGCAGGUAAAUUUAAUCUGUUAUUGCACGUUAUUCAAUUUUUUUUACAUAAAAAUCGAAAAAGAAAUAUUUGAAUAACCUGAAGUAGCAGAUCAAAUUUACCUGAUAGUGGAGAAUACUUUGUACACUGAUAAUGCACAAAACUUAAAUUCAUACAUAUAUACACUAUAAAAUAGUAGUAAGAAUUAACUAAAAUUUGGUGUCAAUUUUUAAAAAUUUCGUUGUUAAAUAAGAUUAGCAUAUGAGUUUUGUAGUUUUGUUUUUAAGAAAAACAAAUGAUGUUCGGAUCAGCUUUUGCGCACCUAGACUAAUUAACUCUACGGGAUAUAUAUCGCCUCCCACCAGCAAUAAAUAUCAAGUAAUUCCGUCCAUCAAAGCCAGGACAGAUGAGAGAAAAUCACCUAGUGAUUUUUUACAAAGUCAUUGAUCUUGUUUUGUUUUGUAAGUGAUGAUGUGUGUGUAUAAAUGUAUAAUUUUAUUUUUUUUUGGAUUUAAAAUAUAAUUUUAUUAAAUUUUAGUGACCUUUACGCGCGCAUGUGUACAAGUCACUAAAAUUUAAUAUUAGACGAAAAUAAAGGAUUGUGCACAAAGCAUUUUUCGUUAACAGAAUUUGAAAAAUGAUCGCAUUCGAAAAUAUGUGAAGUAAACAGUCUACUCUAAUAUUCUCAUAGUGAAGAUUAAGAGAUAUUAUUAUUAUGUAUGUAUAAGAUUUAGACUACAAGAUCUAUGGAAGUUAGUGGGUAUUUUUGUAAAGUUAGCUGUCAAUUAGUGUAUUAUUAGAGUCUUCUUUUUCAUAUUAUAAAGAUUAUUAUAAAUGCUUGGUUGUUUUGUUUGGUAUUUUUUAAACAAAGAAUAUUCCUCACAAAAAAAAUAUUCUCUAUUUUAAUCUAUUUCAUUAUUAAAAUCUUAAGAAAAUUCUAGGAUGUUGCUGCUACAUUUUUUUUCUAUAAUAUAGAAGCAUCGGUUUCGACAUGCUUGUCUUGUUUCAAUCGCGAUUUUAUUAUAUCAGUCAUAAUUAAUUUUAUAAGUCAUUUAUAUAUAAAAAGUUAAUAAUAUUUAAUUUAUAAACGAAAAAUAGACAUUUAUGACAUGCCUACUUCAGCUAGGGGUGUGCAUCGGUCGGUUCGGUUCGGUUUUAUAUAUUACCAGUUUGGUUUAUUGAUUUUCGGUUUUUAAAUAUGCAAAACCAAUAACCAAAUCAAUAAGAUAUUUUUUAUCGGUUUUUAGUUCUUAACGGUUCGAUUUUCGGUUUAACCGAUAGAAAUAGAAGUAACUAACAUGAAAAAUAAUCGAAUCUUAGUUGCAAAUAAAAAUCUUACAUAAUGUGUUUUAAUUUACAAGAAUCUUCAAGUUUGAACUAAAUGUUGUUGGAAGAAAUUAAGAGUUUGUAUAAUUGAAAUAAUAGAUUUGUUAAUUUGUAGAGAUUAAAGAGAAAUAUCUAAUAAUUCAUAUAUAUAUAUAUAUAUAUUCUUAUUGGGUUAUCAAUUUACCCAAUAACCCAAUAAGAAAAAAUUGAACCGAACCAAUAACCCAAUAAUUUUUUUAUAAAAUCAUUAAAAAAUCAUUAACCCAAUAACCCAAUAACAAUAAACCAAUAACAUUUUUAUUGGUUCGGUUUAUCGGCCGGUUCGGUUUUUGCACAGCCCUAGUUUCAGCUAAAAAGUGCAAUCCGGUGCACUAAAGCUACCGCUAUGUGCGGUGUCUGGGGAAAGCCCCCACCACAAGGGUGUAUCGUACGCAGUCUUACCUUGCAUUUCUGCUUCAGCUGCUUCAACAUAAUUUUACUAAAUACCGCCGUUGAUACAGAGUUGCGUCAGUUGUAAAAGUAUUUUUCUUUAUGCUGAGUGUGAACUUUCGAUUUCAGAUUUCUCUUAAAUUACUAGACAGAGAGUGUUUAACGAUUUUUUUUUUACUUAAAAUGAAAAUAAAUACUCGCAACACGAGCCAAACUAUAUCUUAAUUUAGUAUAUCAAUUUGCUUUGUAUCUUUCGAAUUUAUUUGCUCCGUAUAAGAGCGAAUAGAUACAACUCCAAGCGAACAGAUAUAGAGUGAACGAAUAAAACUCGAACUCUCGUUUCGAAUAAACUCAGGUAAUUUUUCGUUAGUUUUAUAAUUGUAGGGCUAGGUCGGGCCGAGCUCAGAAAGCUCAACUCUAAUCGAGUCGAGGGAGUAAUAUUUUGUACAUAUUGAAUAGAUUUUUAAGACAAAUAUAAAGUUUGAAUCAAAGUUAAUAGAUUUGAUGGAAUUCGUAUCUCGAAAAUAAAUGUAAAAAUUCGAUGUAAAGUUUUUAUAAAUCGGUGUACAUGUAGUAUAAGAAGUGGAGCCAAAAUUGAAAUUUCGAGAUUCGAGAUUCUAGUCUUUUUAAGUUGUUGCGUUCUCUAUUAAUAUUUUGUAUGUACUGAUUAAAUUUCUUUAAACAAAUACGCCCGCCCGUCUCAUAUUAGUUGGCAUAUUCGUCCUUUGCACAAACAACUCUUAAGGAGAAUUAAUAAGAGAUGCAAAUUGACUAAUAUGACCUUACUAAACUCACAUUAAAUAUCGUUGUUAUCUAUUGACGUUAAUUACUCUUCCAUUAAAUUACUAGGAGUAAAGUUGGAAAAAUAUGUCCAACUCUCUCUCGAUUCUUUAAACAUGCCAACAUGCCAAGUAAUAUAAAACAAUCCAGUACACCCUUGAAUUAUGACCAAAGUUGCUACGACAUAUUUCAACUUUACAGGGGUCCAAUUACCCCCCUGGUGUCAAUUUUAACGUAUUUUUGUCACGCUUUUGUGCUGACAUGACACCUCUAUUACAUAAAAGUAGGGUCUCCAUCAAAGGUGCCACGUCAGCUAAAAAAGUACCACACUAGCUAAAAAGAUUGAUAAAAAUACGUUAAAAUUUAGUUCAGGAGGUACAAGGACCCCGUGAAGUUAGAGUGUGUCGUAACAAAUUCGGACAUAAAUCAAAGAGGUACGAAAUACUUUACUCUUUAAAUUAAAAUUACUAAAUUGGAUCGAACCCGUAUCUCGAAGGCUUUAACUCCUAGGAAACAUAUGCAUGGGAAUUAAUGUGUACUACUUUGUCACCUCAUAUGACUAAUGUUUCUAUGGAAGUUCUCACUAAACAUACAUUAAUCCAACAUGAUUAAAAUUGCAGUCUGUCUAUUUGAGUUUACCCAUGACUUUGUCUUCUUUUUUUUAAUUUUUUUUUUUUUUUUUUUUAUGUAUAUGUAGUUUUUUUGCUGGUAGUGUUCUGAUAAUGUUUGUGAUUUUGAAUAAAUAGUUUAUAUUAUUAUUUUGUUGGUGUCUUGUUUCUUUUAUUAUCUAGUGAUAUGUUAUCUCAUUUUUUUUCGUGUUUUUGUAGUUUCUGGUUCGUAGUGCUCUGAUGAUGUUUGUGAUUUCGAAUAAAUAGUUUAUAGUAUUAUUCUCUCGGUGUUUUGUUUCUUUUACCAUCUAGUGGUGUGUUAUCUUAUUUUUUUCAUGUGUCAGUAGUUUUUUAUUUGUAGAGUUCUAAUGAUGUUUGUGAUUUUGAAUAAAUAAUUUAUAUUAUUAUUUUGUCGGUGUCUUGUUUCUUUUAUUAUCUAGUAGUAUGUUAUCUCAUUUUUUUUCACGUGUCUGUAGUUUCUUGUUCGUAGUGUUCUGAGAAUAUUUGUGAUUUUGAAUAAAUAAUUUAUAGUAUUACUCUCUCGGUGUCUUGUUUCUUUUAUUGUCUAGCGUUGUAUUAUCCAAUUUUUUCAUGUGUUUGUAGUUUCGUUUCUUGUCCGUAGUGUUCUGAUGAUGUGUGUGAUCUCGAAUAAAUAAUUUAUAAUAUUAUUCUGUUAGUGUCUUGUUUCUUUUAUUAUCUACCAGUGUAUUAUUAUUUCAUUUUUUUUUCAUGUGUCUGUAGUUUCUUGUUCCUAGUGUUUUGAUGAUGUUUGAGAUCUCGAAUAAAUAGUUUAUAGUAUUACUCUAUCACUGUCUUGUUUCUUUUAUUAUCUAGCGGUGUGUUAUCUCAUUUUUUCAUGUGUUUGUAGUUUCUUGUUCGUAGUGUUCUGAUGAUGAUUGUGAUCUCGAAUAAAUUGUUUAUAGUAUUAUUCUCUCGGUGUCUUGUUUCUUUUUUUGUAUGUCUAGCGUUGUGUUAUCUUAUUUUGUUGUUUAUUUUUAUGUUUUUUACUUGUUAUAUUGUUACCUGUCCUGAACCGGAGGUCUAUCGAAAACAACGAACCUCUCUACUUCAUAUGAGGUAGUGGUAUGGACUGCGUACAUUUUACCUUCUCUAGACCCCAAUUUAUGAGAAUACACGAGAUAUGUUAUUGUUGUUGUUGUUUUUCAUGUGUCCGAUAUUUGUUUUGAAUACGAUUAAUUUAAUUAGAUUCAUGUUGGAAAGUCCCACUUUAAUAAGGAGUAAAACGUUCUAUACCAAUAACGAUUUCAUACCUAUGACUUGAACUCGAAAUCUCGAAUUUUUUUUUUAUUAUAUAUUAACGUUCCACAUUUAUAGUUUUCGUGAUAAUGAUUAAAUUGUCGAAAUAUUUGAAGUUAGUAUUUAGAAUUAUUACAAGGUAGUAGGUUUGCUUAUCAAUAAGUUCAAUUCAAUUUUGAAUAUUAUUUAUAAACAUUCUAAAUAGAUAAUUAAAUUAUUAAGUUAUUGGUUAUCGAUUAACAAUCGUUAAUGAUUCGAUUAUCUAUUCAACCUAUAAGUAUAAUGGAAGCUUAUAUUUUCCAAGCACCUACAAAUGCAAAAUUAUGUUUUUCGUUAAACCAAUAAUUCGAUUUCAAUAAAUCAAUAUAAUUGUGGGUUGACUUUAACUAGGUUGUCUAUAUAUAUAUAUAUAUAUAUAUAUAAAAUAUUCGAUAUAUAUAAACUAUGAUUUUUCGACAAACAAUGUUUAAUUGACCAUCUUUUUGUCUAUGGUCAUUAGUUAAAUUCGAUUAAAAGUAGCAAGUUUUCUCAUCCGGUAUUUCAUAUAUGUGCUGAGACCCAAUUAAAUUCAAAUUGUAUGCAUUGUGGGGCUCAUUAACUCGAAUCUAAGAUCUCUAACUAAAGAUGGAGAGAUCCCGAUCAUUCCAUCGUAAUCCAUAUUGAUAAAAUUAUUGAUUAGAGUUCAUUGUAACUUAUGUCUAAUUUCAUAAUUGCUACAAAAAUUAUUAGCAAUGUACAUUAUGUAUUGUAAAAGGACUUUAAUUAUUUGUAUAGUUGGUGAAAAGUAGGAAUAAGUAGUACUAAAUAUAUGUCAAAAAUUAACCAAUCAAGUCCAUUCAGCUAAUGAUUGGUAGGAUUUAUUUCCAUAGUAAUUGGUGGGAUUUUUAACCAUAAUAAUUGGUGAGAUUUUUUUACCAUAAUAAUUGGUGAGAAUUUAAUAUAGAAGAUCUUGUAACAAUAACAAUAGUAAAUUCCGUGUAAUCUCAUAAGUAGAAUCUAGGAAGAAUAAACAUACACGAAUCUUAUAAUUACCUUUGAAAAGGUAAAGAGAUUGUUUUCGAACGAGUCUAAACUGAACAACCGUGAAACAGAAAAUCCUAUAAAAUAAGUAAAAAUGAGAAUAGAAGAGUAUAUAGAUUAGGACAACGGUGGAGCCAGAAUUUUCAAUAAUUUGAUUCACAAGUGAAUAUGCGAACUAACCGAAGGGGGUUCGAUAUCUACUAUAUAUAUAAAAAAUAAUUUUAAUUAUAUAUAUAUAGUAUAAUUUCCGUCGAAGGGAGUUCGAAUGAAUCGAAUCCCCUUUCCCAGGUGUAGCUUCGCCCGUAAAUUAGGAUAAUUCAAAAUUCGUUUCGAUACUUGUGGAACUAGAGUUUUAGCUAUAGAUUCGUUAAAACUGGUACUCCACACACAAAAAAAAUCCUUUGGGCUAUCAAUAUGGGUUGUGUUGCAGUGGAUGGGGCUGCUCUACCCUUAACCAGAGGUCGAGAGUUCGACCAUGGGUAUGGAGAAAACUCUGUUGGGAGCGUUGCCACCUUAAUGGGCCCUGCAACGCAUGAUCAGAAUUAGUCGGGGCUCCAAUGCGAACACCAAACACCGAAUGAAAAACCAAAAAAAAUAAAUAAUAACAAUUAAAAAAAAAUCCUUUGUAGUGGGCUAUAUGGUCCAUUAUAAGUCACCCAUCAGGCCAACUUGACCAAAAAGGUACAAAUAUAGUUGUGUACAAAUUUAACCCAAAAAGAUAACACACACACUAACACACCUUCAUUUUACACACAUUGAUUAAAAAGCCAACAAUUAAUGGACCUUAAUAAAAGUCCAAUUACUCUUUUCGGGUUUCAAAGCCCAAUUUCCCUUUCUCUCUCUCUCUCUCUCUCUCUCUCUCCUCUUUCUCUCUCCUCCUUCUACGGCCCAAACCCUAGAUCUGUCGCCGGAAUUACUCAUCGGAUUCCAAGUUCCCUUCUGGAUUUCCCUCUAAAUCUAAUUUCACAACUUGGGUGUCCCUCAAAAUUCAAUUUUGGUACUUGGAUUCUGCUCAAAAUUCAAAAUUUGUAUACAGGUAAAUUAACCCCCUUUUUUUUUACAAAAUUCGGAUUUAAUUUAUUUAUUUUUAAUUUUUUUUAGUUAAUUAUUGUGUUAUUGUGAAAAUUGUUGUGCUGAAUUACUGAAAUGAUUAUAUUUUUGUGCUAAAUAACUGUACAGCAUGAUCAAAGUAAGCUGUGUUUUUAGAUUUGUGUGUAAUUUUUUUUUUAGAUGUUUAGUUAUUUAUUGUGGUGUUGUGAAAAUUGUUCUGCUGAAGUACUGAAAUGAUUAUAAUUGUGUGUAAAUAUGUGCUAAUUUACUGUACAUAAUGAUCAAAAUAAGCUGCUUUUAAAGCUGUGUAGAAGCUUUAGUGCACGGGGCUGCCCUUUUUAUCUGUUUUGAGCUUCUUUCAGAAAUGCAGGUAACACUGUGUAUAAUAAACCCUUUUGGUUCGGUCUUUCCUUGGAUCUUGUGCAGAAGCUUUAGGGCACGGGGCGCUUCUUUUAUCUGUUUUGAGCUAUUUGAAGCUUAUGUGGCUUAAUUCAAUUUUCUUUUGAUAUGUUUAUAAAAAAAGUUGUGAUUUUUUUAAAUCUUUUUCUUGACGUUCUGUGCGUGAAGUUUGCAGGUUUUAAUGAUUCUUGAAAAUUUUGGUUGACAGUGUAAUAGAUUCAAUUGUUGUUAGUAAAAAGAGGAUUUUUGAUCUGGGCUUUGUUGAUGUUUCUAACUUGUUUAGCUCAUGUUUUGUGAAAUGUCCAUUUUAGCCCUGAGGGUCUUUGAAAUAGAGUGUACUAUACUCUCCUUGUUUCCUUAGAAGGACCAUUAUUAUUAUUUAACUUUGGAUCAGUUGUGAAUUCGGGAUGGUAGAGGUAACACCGGGCCAGGCCGGUGUGUGCCCAUUGUUCAGCUUUGAGGAACUAAUUUCUUGUAUUUUGUUGGCUAAAUCUUCGGCCUCCUGUUUUAUUGGUCCAAAGAGUGAGUACUAAGGAGUCGUUUGUCCAUAGAUUUUGUUUCAAAUAUUUGAAAUAAUAUAUGGAGAUUUUGUUUCAAAUUAUUGGCUCAUUAUUUCAACUUCAAGCUUGAAAUAUGGAACUUGAAGUUUGUAAAACUUGUUUAACUCCAAAACUUCUGUGUUUUCAUGUCUAAAUACAACUUAACUUCCAAAUACCACUUUGUCGACUUAACGUCAAUUUUUUUUUCAAAUAUCAACGAAUUCAUGCCCAAAUGCAUACUAAGUAUGCUUGAAGCAAUGGAUUUGCAGCCAGGCUGCAACGUCAUGCCACAUUCUUUAGGUGCUGGGUUCAAUGCCUACUGAUGGCCAUAGGCUGUAACUCCAUACUCAAUCUGUAUGAUGUAAAGAACAAAUCCAUUAUACGGCUCUCCCUUCACCUGGAAAAAGUUUAAAAGACAGUUUAUAUAUAUAUACUUUGCAGCUUUAACCACCUCUUGUUCUGCUUCAAAGUAGCGAUGGGGCUACAUGAACAUUGCUUGUGGAUGUAAGUCCUUCGAAGGAUGCAAACCCUUAGAAGAAUUGGAUAAUGCAAUCAGCUGAGCUGUAGCUAUUUCUUUCUUUAUAAAGAGGUUGGACCGAUAUCAGCAGAGUGUUUUCUCUAAGAUAGACCGAGGAGUGUGUUUAGACUUAUUGAAGAUAGGAUAAAUUGAGCUGUUAAGGAUAUCAAAAAAGGCAAUAGUUUACAGCGGGAAAACAGAAAGAGGAUUAGUUUCAUAGGAGUUAUCGCAAAAAAAUGUAUGUACACACAGUGCUACUUUCAGGCAUGUGUUUUAUAGAUUCACAAAUCUUUUCUUCAGUUUAACAUACAUGUGAUUUACUUUGUUUUUUUUUUCAUUAUAAAUUAUAGAUUAUUGAUAAGUGUUUUAGCUUCCCACAGUCUUGAGCUCUUCUGGACCUUGAUGGCGACCCCAGAAACCCCAGCUUCUCCAGCAACUCCCACUGAGAAUCAUGAGAUAGUGCCGAAAGAUGAGGGUAUACAUGAGCAGAGUCAUGAGAUGGUGCCAGAAAAUGAGAAGUUACAUGAGCACAGUCAUGAAAAGGUGCCGGAAAGUGAGAUCAUACAUGAGCACAGUCAUGAGAUGGUGCCGGAAAAUGAGAAGAUACAUGAACGCAGUCAUGAGAAGGUGCCGGAAAAUGAGAUGAUACAUGAGCAGAGUCAUGAGAUGGUGCCAGAAAAUGAGAAGAUACAUGAGCGGAGUCAUGAGAAGGUGCCGGAAAAUGAGAUCAUACAUGAGCACAGUUGUGAGAAGGUGCUGGAAAAUGAGAACAUACAUGAGCACAGUCAUGAGAUGGUGCCGGAAAAUGAGAUCAUACAUGAGCAGAGUCAUGAGAAGGUGCCGGAAAAUGAGAAGAUGCAUAAGUGCAGUCAUGAGAAGGUGCCGGAAAAUGAGAUCAUACAUGGUUACAGUCAUGAGAUGGUGCCAGAAAAUGAGAAGAUACAUGAGCGGAGUCGUGAGAAGGUGCCGGAAAAUGAGAUGAUACAUGAGCAGAGUCAUGAGAUGGUGCCAGAAAAUGAGAAGAUACAUGAGCGGAGUCGUGAGAAGGUGCCGGAAAAUGAGAUCAUUCAUGAGCACAGUCGUGAGAAGGUGCCGGAAAAUGAGAACAUACAUGAGCACAGUCAUGAGAUGGUGCCGGAAAAUGAGAUCAUACAUGAGCAGAGUCAUGAGAAGGUGCCAGAAAAUGAGAAGAUACAUAAGCGCAGUCAUGAGAAGGUGCCGGAAAAUGAGAUAAUGCAUGAGCAGAGUCAUGAGAUGGUGCCAGAAAAUGAGAAGAUACAUGAGCACAGUCAUGAGAAGGUGCCGGAAAAUGAGAUCAUACAUGAGCAGAGUCAUGAGAUGGUGCUGGAAAAUGAGAAGAUACAUGAGUGCAGUCAUGAGAAGGUGCCGGAAAAUGAGAUCAUACAUGAGCAGAGUCAUGAGAUGGUGCCGGAAAAUGAGAUGAUACAUGAGCAGAGUCAUGAGAAGGUGCCGGAAAAUGAGAUCAUGCAUGAGCAGAGUCAUGAGAAGGUGCUGGAAAAUGAGAUCAUACAUAAACACAGUCAUGAGAUGGUGCUGGAAAAUGAAAUGAGGCAUGAACACAGUCAUGAGAUGGUGCCGGAACAUGAGAUGACGCAUGAACACAGUCAUGAGAUGGUGCCGGAACAUGAGAUGACGCAUGAACACAGUCAUGAGAUGGUGCCGGAAAAUGAGAUGAUGCAUGAACAUAAUCAUGAGAUGGUGCGGGAAAAUGAGAUGAUGCAUGGACAUAAUCAUGAGAUGGUGCCGGAAAAUGAAAUGAUGCAUGAACAUCAUAUGGUGUUUGGAAAUGAAAUAGUUCCCAGCAAUGAGAUGGUCCCGGACGAUGAGAUGAUCCCACUAAACGAGAUGGUACUUGCAGAGCCAGAACCCAACUAUAUAGAAACACCUCCAAACAACCCAGAAACACAACCCAGCAAGCGUAGGAAGAAGAAGUCAAUAGUUUGGGAACACUUCACCAUUGAAAAUAUUGGCAAUGGAACCAGAAGGGCACAAUGUAAGCAGUGCAAGCAAUCAUUUGCAUAUAGUACAGGUUCAAAAGUAGCCGGCACUAGUCACCUGAAACGGCAUAUUGCCAAAGGAACCUGUCCAGUUGUCCUGCGUAACCAACAGAAUAAUCAAUUGACCCCUUAUAGUACACCUCCUAAGAUGAGUGGAUAUGGUGGUAGUACUGAUGCACCAAAACGACGUUAUCGGACUGCUUCUGCUCCUUACCUUGCUUUUGAUCCUGACCGGUGCCGUCAGGAGAUCUCUAGGAUGAUCAUCAUGCACGACUAUCCCCUUCACAUGGUUGAGCAUCCAGGCUUUCUUUCUUUUGUCCGGAAUCUUCAACCUCGUUUUGAUAUGUUGAGCUUCAACACCGUGCAAGGAGAUUGUGUGGCAACUUAUCUUAGAGAGAAGCAAGCCAUUCAGAAGGUGAUUGAGGGAGUGCCUGGGCGAAUCUGCUUGACGCUAGAUAUGUGGUCCUCCUGCUACAAUGUGGGCUACAUGUUCAUAACUGGGCAGUAUAUUGACAGUGAGUGGAAAAUUCACAGGAAAAUACUCAAUAUCAUCAUGGAACCAUAUCCAGAUUCUGACACGGCUUUCAGCCAUGCUGUUGCGGCUUGCCUUUCUGACUGGAGUAUGGAAGGGAAGUUAUUUUCGGUCACUAUUAAUCAACCAUUGGGUGAUGCUGCUGUUGAUAAUCUUAGAGCUUUAUUAUCUGUGCAGAACCCUCUUGUGCUCAAUGGUCAGUUGUUGGUUGGAAGUUGUCUUGCUCGAACUUUAAGCAGCAUCGCCCAAGGUGCAUUUGUGUUUUUGCAUGGUACUGUUAAGAAAGUAAGAGACAGCGUUAAGUAUGUGAAAACAUCGGAAUCUCAUGAAGAAAAGUUUCUUGACCUCAAACAGCAGCUUCAGGUGCCAAGCACAAAGACUCUGUCGCUUGAUGACCAAACUCAAUGGAACACGACAUAUGAGAUGUUGUUAGCUGCAUCAGAAUUAAAGGAAGUAUUUUCGUGCUUGGAUACAUCUGAUCCUGAUUACAAGGAUGCCCCAUCGAUGGAAGAUUGGAAGCAAGUCGAGGUUCUGUGUAAUUACUUGAAAACCGUUUUUGACACCGCCAAUCUUCUGACUGCACCUACAGUUCCAACAACCAACACAUUCUUCCAUGAAGCAUGGAAGAUUCAAUUGGAGCUGGUUCGUGCUGCAGGAAGUGAAGAUCCAUUCAUCAGCAGUCUUACCAAAACAAUGCAAGAGGAGUUUGAUAAAUACUGGAAAAAUUGUUGUCUAAUAUUAGCUAUUGCCGUAGUAAUGGAUCCACGCUUCAAAGUGAAACUCGUCGAAUUCAGUUUUACGAAAAUAUAUGGUGAAGAAGCUGGCACCUAUGUGAACAUCGUUGAAGAGGGAAUCCAUGAGCUUUUCCGUGAAUACGUGGCACUUCCUCUGCCUUUAACCCCAGCUUAUGCUGAAGAGGUAAAUGAUGGGGCUUUGAAGCAGGAGAACGGUGGCGCUGGACUUACAGAUUUUGACGCCUACAUUAUGGAGACAACAAGCCAGCAGUCAAGGUCAGAACUUGAUCAAUAUUUGGAUGAGUCCUUGUUGCCUCGUGUUCACGAGUUUGAUGUUGUGGGAUGGUGGAAACUGAACAGAAUAAAGUACCCAACUCUCUCAAUAAUGGCUCGUGACAUCUUGUCCGUUCCAGUUUCUACUGUUACAUCCGACUCUGUAUUUAGCACGGCAGGCAAAGAGAUGGAUCGCUACAGAUGUUCAUUGCGACCCGAGACCGUGGAGGCCCUCAUCUGUGCCAAGGAUUGGCUUCAAAAUGCAUCGGUAAACACUUUACAUGCACCGAUAAAAAUGGAAGUCCCUAUUUAGGCCUCUUUUUCUGUUCAGUGAUAGCCUUUUGUAGCUGAUAUCUGUUUUCUUUUAGAUUGUUUUAACAUUUAUAUCUCCUUUGUUGUGUCGUCGGAGAAUCAACUGUCUUGUAUCAUAAUUUGGUACCGCUAGAGGCUUACCGGAGAGUUUAGUCGUGAUUUUCGCGCUUUUCUCAGUUGAUGUCAGUUUUAAUCGUGUAUGAUAUGAAUAUAUGUUGAAUAUUACUUGUGUUGCUUAUCUAUGAGUUAUAUGCAAAGCAAAAAUGCAUUAUAUUAUAAAGUUGAUUUUCUUAUUUAUUUACAUUUCUCAAUUCCACCAAAGAAGGGAAUCGUUGGAGUAACUGGUAAAGUUGCUGCCAUGUGACCAGAAGGUCACGAGUUCAAACCUUGAAAACAGCCUCUGACAGAAAUGUAAGGUAAGGGUGCGUACAAUAUACCUUUGUGGUGGGGCCCUUCCUCGGACCCUGUGCAUAGCAGGAGCUUUAGUGCACCGGAUUGCCCUUUUUCUCAAUUCCGCCAAAGAAAGGUGUAAGAUUUGCGUUCAUCUUACCCUACCUAAAUUCCAAUUAUGGUAUUACAUUGCAUAUGAUGUAUUUCCAUUUCUUUAAUUGUCACCUACGAAAGUGUAACAAACAUACGACUUUCAUCGAAUACAACUUUCAGCGGAAUUUUAUAUGUAUCUAUGAGAUCGAGUAUGGAAUUCUGUUUACUCACUUUAAAUUCAGUAUCCGUUUCCCUCCCUUUCGUGCUAGGAUUGGAAAUCUUGUAUUUUACAUAUCCAUACGAUUGAGUCCUUGGGUUUUCUAAAUAGUGUAAAAAGAAGUGCUCCAAAUCAUUGCUGUUUGACUUGGAUCUGUUCUAAAAAAAUUGAGGUAUUUCGAAUUGUUUGUUGACACGGACAAACAUACGACUUUCAUUGCAUACGACUUUUCACAAAAUUCUAUAUGUAUCUAUGAGAUCGAGCAUGGAACUCUGUUUACUCACUUUAAAUUGAGUAUUCAUUUUCCUUCCUUUCCUGCUAGGAUUGGAAAUCCUGUAUUUUACAUAUCCAUACGAUUGAGUUCUUGAGUUUUUGAAAUAGUAUAAAAAGAAGUGCUUUGAAUCAUUGGCAUUUGACUCGGACCUAUUGUAAAAAAGUCUAGGUAUUUCGAAUUGUUUGUUGACACGAACAAAGUCGGGAAAAACCUCUGAAAUAACAGUUGUGUAAAGUGUUAACACUUUUGCAAUAACGACUAUGCUUUAGUCCCGAACAUGUUGUAGUUCGCGCCAUAUGAAUUUUUACUUCGCCAUAUUAUUUUUUUUUCUGUUCAUGUCGUUCCAUUUAAGCUCAUUGGGACAACAAUUGUGAGAAUUUGAUGAUCUAUAAAUCGUUCCUAACGAGCGAUCGGCUCAUGUUUGAGCAUGAUGAACCACUUUAUGCCGAUCUGUUGCCAAUCCACUUUCCGGCUUCAUAUGUGAACGGAAAACUAGAGCAUUUUAUCCAUCGGUGGAUGAAGAAUCGCAAACAUAAUAAUUUCUGGUUGAUCAUGUUCCCAGAAAAAAAAUACUUUCGUGAAAAGACGAGCACGACUAAAGUGGCUAUAUGAAACAAUGAAAAAGUUGUCAUGUAACCUAUAGUUGAAAAUUCGAGUGAUGGAAUCAAAAUCUCUUCGAUUAUCAGAAAUAAAAAAAGUAAAUAUAAUUUUCUAUACUUAUAUACAACUACAAAGUACCAAACAUUAUAAUUGGAUUAGAUUAAUAUCGAUGGAUCCUUUAUAUGCAUCGAAUGAUAAAUAACUACAAGCGAUGGAGACCAACAAUCCAAAAAACGAAAAAUAAAAAACUUGAAAAUAGUAUCGAGAAUGACUGAAAAGAUAGAAACAAGACCAAAUAUAAUUUAAUUAUUAUGAGCAGUUUUUUUGCCUGGACUCCAAAACGACGGUCAAUCGAAAGAUCCUGUGUUAUAUCAUUAGAUCUCGAUUUUUCAUAUAUAAAUGUAAUUAAUGUAUCUCAUUCGUAAAGGGUUUCCCCCAUAAUGGCCAUGAAUGAUUGCUCCGGAGUUGCCCAAAGAAGGCUUAGCUGAUCAUAUCACUAUCGAGUCAACUUGAACAAGUAUAACUUGACCCGAUUUCAGGGUCGGUCUUGAAAUUUGGUGCUUUUUUAUCUCCAGUUGCUACGAGGAAAAAAUGACGAAAUUUUUUAAGUUUUUCUCUCUUUAUGCUGAAAAAUUAUUAUUCUAGUCAAUAUAUUUUAUUGUUUAGGGGGAAUUACGCUUACUUGUUUUUUAGUACAAGUAGCUACUGAGUUUGCUAUGACUUUUUACGAUCGUCCGACUGUUACUGAGGCUUUUGCUUCUGUUCAAUACAUAAUGACUGAAGCCAACUUUGGUUGAUUAAUCCGAUCAGUUCAUCGAUGAUCGGCAAGUAUGACGAUCCUAAUGAUAACCUUGUAUGUAUUUCGUGUAUAUCUCACCGGCGAAUUUAAAAAACCUCGCGAAGAGUGGAUGAGAUACUUUGGUCCCCCUCUCCCGGUACGGUGGAGGUGCCGUAGCAUGUCAUGAGCACCUGGAUCAAUAACUGAAACUCAGAUAUAAAAUUGAUAAAAUUAAAAUUUUGAAUCCGCCUCUGUAUAUAUAAUCCACAAUGACUUAGCAACAUUGUAUGGACUAGGAUUAUUCUUUUCAAAUUCCAAUCAAUAAUAUGUCCAAAAUAUUAUAUGGUCCUACUUAUCUCUUUUUGACUUUUUUUUUUUUUUCAUUUGAUAUCUUACAUCUAAGUAAUUACCACUUGUUAAUAUUACCAUAUCACCUGUUUUUUUUUUUUUUUUUUUAAAUUUUAAUCGUCUGGUAAUUCAUAUUUAUUUUAAUUAAUUUAAAUUUUCAUUACUUAAAGCUCGAUUACAUGUUUAUGUGAAUCCAAUAUUUUUUGCUCAAAUAGUUUUUAAAAAUCUACUAAUUAUACCUAGUUAUUGUUGCUAGCUCUAAAAUAGAAACCAACAAAUGAUAUCAAUAAACUAUAUUAUAUAAAAUUACACUUAGAAAGAGAAAUAAAGACCAAUGAUGGAUAAAAAUUACUUUCAUUAAUACACUGAAAUAAAUUUCAUUAAUAAAUCACAAUUCAACAAAGCCAAAAGUAAAAACAAUAGCAGAAAUACAUAAAAUACAAUUUGGAGAGAAAAUGAGAAAUUAAUUAAUCAUAAAUUUGACAUCCUUUCAUGUCAAUCCAUGCAAUUCUUCAAAUUUAAUCUGGAAAUCCUGCAAUUUAAUCAGAAUUUAAAUUAAUGAGUUUAACAUAAAGAAAAUAACGAAGUCAGGAUUUUCACUAAAUUGCGUUAAAUUAUGAACAAGAUUAGAAAAAAUAUUCAACAUAUAGUGUAUAUAGAUAAUCUUUUUAAAAACCUAUAGCGGUUGUCAGUUGACAUUCGUUGGACAAAUGUGGCUCCGCCAUUGCACCAAAAGUACUAAUGGUGGGGGUGCAUGCAGAGGCGGAGUCAAUAGGGGUUCGUUUGAAUCAUUUUCGAUGGAAAAUUAUAAUAUUAAUGCAUGAUUAAAAUGAUUUUUAUGUAUAUAUUGUAGAUGUUGAACCCUCUUCGAUGAGUUUUUCUUCUGAUUUUGAACCCCCUCAGCAGAAAUCCUGGCUCCGCCUCUGAGUGCAUGGACGGAAGGAGGUUCAACCAAAGCCUUUCAACGGUAAAUUUCACAAUAUAUAUUAGGUCAAUUUCUUUUACGUACAUAUAGUAGAUGAUAAACGCCAUUUUUCAAAACUAUAUAUUGCACUUAGAUUAGUGUCUGUGGUUCGAGCCCUCGGGAAUGGAGCCACUUUUGAUGAUAGGUGACCUAAUAUGUGGCUCCAUUACUAGUCAGACCUCAAAGCAAGUACCGAACAUAAAAAAAAAAAUAAGUGUCCUAAUAUGUGGCUUCAUUGUUAGUCUGACCUCAAAGCGAGUACGGAACACCAAGUGAAAAAUAAGUGACCUAAUAUGUGGCUCCAUUGUUAGUCUGAUUUCAAAGCGAGUACCGAACACCAAGUGAAAAAUAAGUGACCUAAUAUGUGGCUCCAUUAUUAGUCUGACCUCAAAGCGAGUACCGAACAUCAAAUAAAAAAUAAUUGACUUAAUAUGUGGCUCCAUUACUAGUCUGAUCUCGAAGCGAGUACCGAACACCAAGUGAAAAAUAAGUGACCUAAUAUGUGGUUCCAUUAUUAGUCUGACCUCGAAGCGAGUACCAAACACCAAGUGAAAAAUAAGUGACCUAAUAUGUGGCUCCAUUACUAGUCUGACCUCAAAGCGAGUACCGAACAUCAAAUAAAAAAUAAGUGACCUAUGUGGCUCCAUUACUAGUCUGACCUCAAAGCGAGUACCGAACAUCAAAUAAAAAAUAAGUGACCUAUGUGGCUCCAUUACUAGUCUGAUCUCAAAGCGAGUACCGAACACCAAGUUAAAAAUAAGUGACCUAAUAUGUGGUUCCAUUAUUAGUCUGACCUCAAAUCGAGUAUCGAACACCAAGCGAAAAAUAAGUGACCUAACAUGUGGCUCCAUUACUAGUCUGAUCUCAAAGAGAGUACCGAACACCAAGUGAAAAAUAGGUGACCUAAUAUGUGGCUCCAUUAUUAGUCUGACCUCAAAGUGAGUUCUGAACACCUAGUGAAAAAUAAGUGACCUACUCCAUUACUAGUCUGAUCUCGAAGCGAGUACUCCAUUACUAGUCUGAUCUCGAAGCGAGUACCGAAUUCCGAGUGAAAAAUGAAUAGAAAGUCAUAUUACCUAGAUGGAGCAAGUGUAGCCAGGUGGAGGAGUUUUGCCACAAGUAACAAGUAGUUGAAGAGCAAGAGGAACAUAGAUUUUAAGGUUAAGUAGUUUGAGUUUAAGUGUUGUGCAAAGGCAAGCAGCAGCUUCAAGUUCAGCAAGUCCACUAAUUAUUGGACAACAUUCAUGAACAGCUGGAUCACCAAGACCAAUAUGAACAAGUCCACCAAGAAGAUCCACACAAGCCCCAAGUUUCAAUGUGUCAAUUGGGCAUGUUGCCUUUGUAGUUGGUGGACAUGGUUUUUUCCCUUUAGGUGAUGGGGUAAUUACUGGUGGAACUGUGACAGGUGGAAGCCCAAUAGGUGGCAACUUGAUGGGGGGUUUGACAACUGGUGGUAAAGUGAUAGGCGGUUUUACAACUGGUGGAACUGUGACAGGUGGAAUUCCAAUAGGUGGCAAAUUGAUAGGCGGUUUUACAACCGGUGGUAAAGUAAUAGGCGGUUUUACAACUGGUGGAACUGUGACGGGUGGAAGUCCAAUAGGUGGCAAAUUGAUAGGCGGUUUUACAACUGGUGGAACUGUGACGGGCGGAAUUCCAAUAGGUGGCAAAUUGAUAGGGGGUUUGACAAUGGGAGAGGGAGUUUUGGGCUUCUUGGUCUUGGGCUUGUGAGAAGGUUUACCACAAUAGCCACAACCAAGAAUGGGAGUUAAAGAGGAAAGCAAAAGCAUGCAAAUGAAAAGAAGUGAAGUUAUCUUAGAGAACUCCAUUUUUUUAAGAGGGAAAAGAAAAG
rnacentral:lncRNA from 1 species